CGAAGCUCUAGUUUUAAAGCCUACUUCGUCAGAAGAAAAAGCUUCGGAAGAAAAAGUUCUUUAGUUCCCAAGAAAUUCAGAAUUAAAUGGCCAGAGUGCGCUCUACCGCUAGAGUUGAGCGUGAGGGAGGCGAAGCCGAAGGAGCGGAGACUGUUCCUAUCUCCGAAGCAAUGCAACGAUCCGGACUGGUGACCUCGGAAGGAAUCCGUACUACCGAGACAGAGCAGACUGCUGCCGAGACAGAAGAAGUUGUUGCCGAAGCGGAAGAAGGAAAUAUUGAGGAAGCUAAUUCUGAUGAUGAUUACCAUAUUGCCGUGCCAAGCAAGCCCAGCCACUUGGACUUCGGGAAGUCGACUGUCUCCAAGGCUGAUUUCUCCAUGAUGGUGAAGUUGGGUUAUUUCAGUGAGAAUGAGAAGAAGCUACUUCGCUUCGGGGGGAAGAAACUACCCUGAAGCCAGAAAAAGAUGAAAUAGUUAUUUUUAAGAGCUUUCUAAAAGCUGGAUUAAGAUUCCCCUUAAAUAGGAUGAUAUCUGAUGUGCUGCAAAGAUUUGGUAUCUACUUUCACCAACUAACUCCCAACGCAAUUGUCAGGCUCAGCGUCUAUAUCUGGGCUCUCCGAAGCCAGGCAGUGGAGCCAUUUGCUGACAGCUUCUGUCGAGUUCAUGAGUUGCAUUACUAGACUAAGGCCAGAAAAGAUGGAUUGCAUGAAAAUUUUGGCUGCUAUAAUUUUGCUUAUCGGAAAACCACGAAGUUUCCCGUGAUCAGCUACCGAAGCAAAUGGCCGGCAGGCUGGAAAUCAGAAUGGUUUUAUGUCAAAGUUGAUGAAGAUAAAGAGAAGCUGGUUCAGAGCCCUCUUGAAUUAAUCUUCGGAGAAACAAGACCCCGAUGCAAAAUGGCAGUAGAAGGUCCAACUUGGGCUGCACUGGGCGAAUUCAAAAUUAUAGCAGAACAUAUUGGCACUAGAGAUUUAGUGCAAGAAUUCCUGGCCUUCAGAGUUUUUCCAACGAUGAAAGAGUGGACAAUGCCGAAGCUUAAAGGGGAAAAGAAAGAGGGGGAACUCGUCAGGCUACCUUAUCAUUAUAAAUUCAAGAAAUAUUUUAAAGUACCCUGCCAAGAAUGGCUUGAUACAAUUGAAAUAAUGAGCAAUGAAAUUCUUGGGAACUACUCUAAAAAAGAGGACCAACUGAUGACAGCGGCCUUCGGCACUCGGCCGAAACGAAGGCUGAAUAGAGUGCUUGAUGCCAUAGGAUUUGAAUACGCUGACUACGGUCGACUGGGCGGAGAUGCCGGAGGCCCGAAGCGAAAAAGAAUUGCCAGCGCUAAUGACAAAGAGGUCGUCAAGUUAGCCAAAAAGAAAAAGAAAGAUUCUGAAAAUCUUAGCGCUGAAGAGUUAAAUCCUGAGCCGAAGGUGGCCACUUCAAGAAAGAGAACAGGUGCAUCCCGGGAGCCGGAAACGUCGGUCCGAGAAGAAGAUAUUCCUGCUUCUCCUUCUGCUGUUGAAGUAGAAGAAAUUAUGAAGGUAAUGACUGAACCCUUGCCUAUCAGGCUAAGUCCACUGGCACUGGAACUGACGAAGUUUUUUCAGAAGGACAAGGCAGCUUCGGCAGCAGAAAGUCCUACGAAGCCGAAAAAAAGGAGAAUUAUUCAAGUAACAGAUGUGAUCCACCAGACGCCGCCACCGGCAACGGUGCCGAAAAUUCCCUUUGCUGAAACUGCCGAAGCCGAAGCUACUGGGGUGAAAACUACUGAAGCUGAAACCAGCGAAACCGAAGCUACCGGGGCCAAAGCCGGGGCCACCGAAGAGUCGAACCUGGAAACUACACUUGAGGUUAUUGACAAUAUUCUCCUGAAAAUGGCCGAAGAAGAAGCUACUGUGGCUGUAGUGAAUACGGCAACUGAAAAGGGGAAAGAGCAAAUUGGUGAAAUUUCUGAAGGAGAAGAUUUUAACUUUCAAGACCUACUUGGGCAAGAGUUGACAGACACUGAGAAAGAGGAGUUGAAAAAAUAUGCCAUAUCUUGCGGAUAUAAAUCAGGUGCUAUGCUAUUUGGUGGGGUGAACGAAGGGAAACUAAGGUGCCUUCGGAACCGCACCGAGGCCAAAAUUGUCAGAACCCUUUCCAAAAGCAUUGGCUUGCCGAAGGUGGAAGCGGACUUGUGUCGUUAUCAACGACACCAUAUCGCCGGAAGCUUGCUUUAUGCUAACUUCAAGGUAAUGAAUAUUUUUGUUAUUUUAUUACUGUUAUUAUUAACUUUUGGGUCGUGCUCUAAUGAAGAUCAUUUCGACAGAGCAUAUUAUUAAGCAAGGUUCUGAAAAUGCAACAAGAUCUGGAGGAAGAGAAAAAUAAAGCCGUCAUUCAAGAUUUGGCUGAAAAGGUUGAAAACUACGAAGCCAAUCUGAAAAAGAAAGACUUCGCAAUCCAAGAUCUUGAAAUCAUCGUCAAAGAGCACGAAUGUGCAUUGGAAAAGAAGGAUUUUGUUAUUCAGACCAUGGAGGGCUCUUUGGCUGAAGUCCAAACUGAAAAUGACAAAUUAAAGAAUGAAUUGCUUCGUCAAUCAGAAAAAUUCGAGCAAGAAAAGAAAUAUUUUGAAACAAGCCUGAAAGCUGAAGUUGAUAAAUACUCAAAUUUGCAGAAAUCCUUUACAGAACUUCAGGAGAAAUGCUUAAGCUUCGGCAUCCGAUGUGUGCAGCGGCUGAAGGACGUGUUUCACUCUGUCGGAGCUAGCUCUUCGAAAUUUACACCUUCAGCUGAAAAUCUGCCAAGAACAUUAGAACAUAUUGAAGGCGAAGUUGAUGCCCUUGACGAAGUUAUUGGUGGGCACGCUGACUUCUGUGCCCUGGUAUCUUCUCGGGGCACAGCUGCUGCUUUUUUGAAGGCUGGUUGCACACAAGGAAACAUCGUGAACAGACCAAACUUCAGCUUGUCAGCUUCAGAUUUGUUAGAUAUCCCAAGCUUAGCCAGAAGCAUUGGAAAUAGAUUCAUGACCCAGAUCUGGGUAAGUGGCGGGCGGAAAAUGGCAGGCGACGAAGCUCAAAGCCAUCUGAAGCUGGUAAGAAACUUAUGUUUGUUACUUUUACCUUCUCCUUUGAAAUUUGUACCUUUCUUACUGUGUUGUUUGAUAUAUACAGGAUGACGAAGCUGAAGAUUGACAAUGCUGAAGUUUGACAAAACUGAAGACGAAGCCUUAGCUGAAGCUUAAAAUUGCUUGUAAUGCGCUUUCCUGCAAAAAUUCUUGGAGAAACUCUUGUAAUAUAGAUAUGGAAUAACUUAUGUAAAUUUGUACAUACCUUGUAAUAUAUUCUGUCUCCUAUAACCGCAUCCAGUCUGCUUUGCUGUGGACGAAACUUCUCUUUUGAGCCGAAGGCGAAAAACACCUUCCCUUCUUUUCGUACACAACGAAGCAUAGAAAAUUUUUCCUUCGAAUCCUUUCCUUAUUUUCUGAAGCACCUGUCUUUUUUUGUGUAGCAUGAUGAUGACUCUACAUAUGUCUAAAUGGAUGUUUAUGAAUGCAAAUGACAUGAUGAUAUGUUAUGUGCAAAUGAAUAUUAGGACACAUGUUUAAAAAACCAUAAGCACGGCCCUUCGUCCCCUCAAGAAUGAUAAAAAUCUUUUUGCCGUUUACUUUUCGGCUUCACCGUUUACUUUUCGGUGUAUCAGCGUUGACUUUUCGCUGUAAGCCUCCCUUAGGAGCUUCUUCGCCUUUUACUUUCAGCGGAAUCAGCGUUAUUUUUCGCUGUAAGCCUCCCUUAGGAGCUUCUUCGCCUUUUACUUUCAGCGGAAUCAGCGUUUAUUUUUCGCUGUAAGCUCUGCAUUCCCUUAGGAACGACCUUUGAGCUUCUCCCUGUUUUCUUUUCUUUUUUCUUUGCACUCGAAGGUGCGUUCUCAGCUUUUACAUUUACAUUUUGGGGGAUAUCGCUCUUAUAGAAUUGAAAUAAGGAAAAGAAAAAUUACAUGUUGUGGCCCCAUUAAAAACCUUUCUCCCCCUUUGGAAAGGAAAAGGGUGCCACAAAAAAGAAUAUAAAAAAUUACAUCAAACUAAACAUAAUAUCGCUGAAGCUCAUCCGCAUUCCACGAUCUAGGAAUGUCAUUGCCGUCCAUAUCCUUCAAUCUGUAGGAACCAGGUCUUGACGAAGAUACUACCAAAAAGGGGCCUUCCCACUUCAGCUGUAAUUUGCCUACUGUUUCAGGGUUAGCUACUCUUCGAAGUACCAAGUGUCCUGGUUCAAUAUUCUUUAGCUUGACCUUUCUAUCACGCCAUUUUAUUGUUUCAGCUUGGUAUUUAUUGAUGUUUUCCACAGCUUGAAGUCUAAUCCCUUCAAUAGCAUCUUUUUCCAAAGAGCAAUCAGCUUCGUUUUCGCCCUCUGCCGAAGCUACUGUCCUUAUCGAUCCUGUUUUAGCCUCUUCUGGGGUUAUUGCUUCGUCACCAAACAAUAGUUUAAAGAGUGUAAAGCCUGUUGAUCUUGAGAUGGUUGUGUUAUGACUCCACACCACUUUGAUUACUCGUCUGGCCACUUUCCCCUUGGCUGAUUGAAGAUUGACUUCAUUAUUCCUGUCAUUAUGAUCCCAUUGGCUCUUUCAACAAGUCCAUUAGAUUCUGGGUGUCGGACUGAUGCAAAAUGGAUCUUCGUGCCAAUUUGAUUGCAAAAUUCUCUGAAGGCUUCAGAAUCAAAUUGUGUCCCGUUAUCCACAGUUAUAGCCUUCGGCACUCCGAAACGACAAACAAUGUUUUGCCAGAAAAACUUUUGAAUAGUAAACGAGGUUAUUGUGGCUAAGGGCUUUGCCUCAAUCCAUUUGGAAAAAUAUUCCACUGCCACCACCACAUAUCUUAAGUUCCCCUGUGCAGGUGGUAAUGGACCUAGCAAAUCCAGACCCCACCUUUGCAAUGGCCAAGUGGGCUGUAUUAAUUGAGUUAAAGACGAAGGUUGUUUUUGAUCUCUUGCACAUUUCUGACAACCUUCGCACUAUUGAACUAAAUCCGCUGCGUCCGAAGCUGCCUUUGGCCAAUAAAAUCCUUGGCGAAAAACUUUUCCAAGCAAGGGCCUAGAUCCAAUGUGAGAUCCACACAGACCUGCAUGUAUGUCCUUCAUUAAUUCUAUACCUUCGGAUCUGGAUAAGCACUUGAGCAAUGGGGAACAAACCCCGCGCUUGUAUAACUCCCCUUCUAUUAUGACAUAUGGUCGAGCUCUUGCUUCUAUUCUCUUGUUAUAAGCUUCGUCGUCUGAAAGAAAAUUACCCUGAAGGAAAGAGAUGAUUUCAGUUCUCCAAUCUUCACUAUAAACAGGGGAUAUGUUGAGGAUUGCUCUUUCAAGAAGCUCGACCGAAGGUGCUUUUAUUGUUUCAAAAAAUACUUCCAAAGGUAUAGGCAGCCCCUGGGCUGCUGACUUAGCCAAUAGAUCAGCAUAUUCAUUUUCUCCACGAGGAAUAUUUUUGACAGAGAAACCUUCGAAGGAAGCCUCAAUCCUUCGGACUGUAUCUAGAUACCUUUCAAGCUUCGGGUCUCUUGCUUUGUAACUUUUGUCAAUAUGACCAGAAAUAACUUGAGAAUCAGUUUUAAGAAUGGCCCUUCUGAUUCCCAUUGCCUUUAAUUUCCGAAGACCCAAAAGCAGAGCUUCAUACUCGGCGAUGUUAUUUGUGCAACUAAAAUCAAGUCUUGCCGCAUAACAAGUUUUAACUUUGGAAGGUGAAACCAACACAGCAGCCGCUCCUGCUCCGAAGGUUCCCCAAGACCCAUCGCAAAACACUGUCCAUGCUUCGGCGUCUUUAUUUGUUUCUUCCUCCUGAGCCCCUGGCGUCCAAUCAGCAAUGAAGUCUGCUAAUGCCUGGGACUGAAUCGAAGAUCUAUGAACAUAAUCAAUACAAAAUUCAUUGAGCUCUGCAGCCCAUUUUCCAAUCCUUCCAGUAGCUUCUCGGUUCCUCAUAAUAUCCUUCAGAGGUUGUGAAGAAGGAACAAUUAUGUUGUAAGAUUGAAAAUAGUGCCGAAGCUUUCUGGAGGCCAUCAAGACAGCAUACAGUACCUUCUCCAACUCUAUAUAAUUUUUCUUUGAUAAACUAAGAACCUCGGAUACAAAAUAUAUUGGGGCCUGCUUCUUAACCUGGCCUUCAAGCUUCUCCUGAACAAGUGCUGCACUUACCGCUGAGUGCGAAGCUGCCACAUAUAAUAACAAAGGAGCCCCUGGCGUAGGUGGAGUUAAUGUUGUUAGAUCUAUCAAAUACUGCUUCAGUUCUUCGAAGGCCUUCUGCUGGAGUGGUCCCCAUUGAAAGACUUCAGCUGUCUUCAGCACUUCGAAGAAUGGUAAGUUUCUCUCUGCUGAUCUAGAUAUGAAUCUGUUGAGAGAUGCUAGCCUUCCUGUCAAUCUUUGAGCCCCCUUUUCUGUACUUGGUGGCUCCAUUCGAAGUAUAGCUUCGAUUUUACUUGGGUUGGCCUCAAUUCACUUUGUUGAAACUAAGCAACCGAGAAAUUUCCCCUUCUUUACUCCGAAGACACAUUUUUCUGGAUUCAGCUUUAGACCAGCCUGUCUAAAAUUAGCGAAGGUCUCCGGUAAAUCAGCAAUGUGGUUAUCCUGCUUCGUGCUUUUUACAAUGAUAUCAUCAACAUAAGUUAGUACUGAUGAGGACAUCAACACCAACACGAGCACAUCUACACCAGCAGCACCUUCUCCAGCCCAGGCACCAUCUUCCCCAGUCCAGGCGCCACCCCUUCCACCUGGGCCAGUGACUCGGGCCCGUGCAAGAGAAUUGAACUACAUCAUGUUGUUAAAGAACGAAGGCCCGGAAGAAUAGACGACCAGCCCAAUUGCGGCCCAUAAUGGACGACCUAGGGUUGGCCGCCCCUAGGGGCCGCGCCCCCUCUCUAUUUAUACAGGAGCUGCGCCUCCUUUAUUUUCCGAGUUUUGUUUUACGUUAGCCUUAGCUACUUUCGAACACGCGCAAAUCUGCGCUGUCCUCGUGUAUUCAGAACUCCACCCUCGAGUAAUAGAUUAGAUUGCUCGCAUCUUGUUCUUGUUCGUUCUUCGAUUGCGCACAGGAAACGAUCUUCGUGAUCAGGCCGAUCUCGCAUCAGCAAGGUCGGUAACCACAGGGAGUUGGUUCAGCGAUUGCAUUGGCGCCUCGGGCUUGCUCGUCGUAGUCGGAUCGCAAGGGUCAUCUUCCGCCAAAUCGGAAUUAUCUCUACUCGCCGAAAGAUCGGGCACCUCAGCUACAUCAAUUGGUAUCAGAUUUCCAGGUUGAUCGGUGAGUUUAUCGAGCGUUUUUUUUCCUACAGUCCACAAAACCACAUAAAAAUUCAGGUUAGAUCUUAUCCCAGCACCCUUUUGAGCCUCGCACUUUCUUUCAAUAAUCUGCAUUGUUGAAUUUGUGUGCUUUCGCGUUUCCUUGUUGCUGGUUGCAUUGUGUUCUUCCACCAUUCAAAUCCUAGCGCCGCCACCAUCUCCCCUUUGAUCACGCCACAAACCGAGUCAACAUUGUUUCCUUGUUUUUCUCCUUCGGUUACGUAAAAAAAAACAGAAAAAACAAACCGAGUCAACGGCCGUUUCCUUGUUUUUCUCCUUCGGUUACGAAAAAAAACAGAAAAAAAAACCGAGUCAACAUCGUUUCCUUGUUUUUCUCCUUCGGUUACGUCAAAAAAAAAACAGAAACAAAAACACAACGAAGGAGAAAGGAUACGGUUGUUUCAUCCCGGUCGUUUGAAAACAUAACUUGAGGUACCUUCCUUAAACCGGGCAUAACUUUUCGCUCGGGUGUCCGAAAAAUCUGAAAUUUUUACAGGAGCUAGUUGACACCAUUCUGAGGCCGGCCAAACUCACCUUCGGUCUGUUUGGGUUCGACAAAAUUGUCAAAAAAAUUCAGGAAAAUAAAGAAAAAAAUCCGUCAAAGUUCUCGCACGCUUUUAAGAGAACUUUCUGAUUUUCUGUAGACCACAUUUGAACUCUGUUUUAGGUGAAACUUCGUCUAGCUCCUAUUUUGUUGCUUCUUGUGCUGAGAAAAAUAUCAAAAAAAUCAUACAAAAAAAAGAAAAACAAAAUCACUUGUGAUUCCUACUAGUGGCCUCGCUAGUACAAUAUUUACGGUACUGCCAUUCUGCUAGUUCCAUCCGUCCUUUGCACUUGUGGCCAGCAAUAUAGUUUCGUGUUUUGCACUAUAAUUCAACUUUGCAUUAUUGUUUGGUCGUGCUAAUCCUUGACUUGAGUGCAGCCUACCCAGAACUCCACAUAUUUCUACGACGAGUAGGUUUCUGUUUCUCCAGGCAAUCGCUCAUCCAAUCUUUCACCGGUUCCACCUGUUGGUUGCAGUUCACCACUGUGGCUUGGUAAGAACGGAUAAGAAUUUGAUAACAGCACUAGUGUGAGCGCCUUGUGAGCAGUACAGCCCUGUUUUUGUCGUUUUUUUUGGUGUUUUGGUGUUUGCGCUAACUAUGGCAGGAGCACAUGACACGGUGGAUGCCCAGUUGCUGGAAGUAAAGGGACAAGUUGAUGGACUUGCUGAUGACAUUAGGACGAUGCAUGAACGGCUUGAUUCAACGGUCACUUCGACGACCGAGCGUUUCAACCAGCUUGACCUUGCUCAAACGGCGACUCGCACCACACUCGACACCAUCCUGGCACGCCUUGAUGCGUUGACCACAAAGAUGGAGCAGGACUACGGCGGUGACACUGAGUGGGACGAUGGAGAUCGUCGUGGUCGUGCACGCCGUGUGGUUCGUCAUCCCCCUAAUGACUUAUUUUCUAAGAUUAAAUUUAAAAUUCCACCUUUUAAUGGCAAAUAUGAUCCUGCUGCAUAUCUUGAUUGGGAGUUAGAGGUUGAACAAAAAUUUUCAUGCCAUGAUAUUGCUGCACAUUCUCAGGUUAAAGCUGCUAUUAGUGAAUUUACUGAUUUUGCUUUAAUUUGGUGGCGUGAGUUUAAAAUAAAACAUCCCACUACCAUUCCAACCACUUGGGAUCAGUUGAAAGCUGCGAUGCGACAUCGAUUUGUGCCUUCGUAUUAUGCUCGUGAUUUGCUUAAUAAAAUGCAGCGUUUUCAGCAAGGUUCUCAAUCUGUUGAGGACUAUUUCCAGGAGUUACAAAAAGGUAUGAUUCGUUGUGGGAUAUUGGAGGACAACGACGCUGCUAUGGCACGUUUUCGUGGUGGUUUAAACCGCGAAAUCCAAGAUAUACUUGAUUAUAAGGAAUAUUAUGAUAUGACUACUUUAUUUGAAUAUGCUUGCAAAGCUGAACGUGAAGUGCAGGGACGCCGCUCGAAGCCAUAUUCUAACCCUUUUGCAGGACGAAGCUCGACUUCCACCUCAGCACCAGUUCCCCCUGCGCCAUCCACGUCCACCACUACUCCACGCGAGAAGACGACCAAACCAGCCAGCACUGCCCCACCCACAGGUCGUACAUGGGAUAUUCAGUGUCAUCGCUGUAGAGGGUUUGGCCAUGUGAUUCGGGACUGCCCAAACAAGCGCACUUUACUCAUUCGUGACGAUGGUGAGUACUCUUCCGCUAGUGAUUCUGAAGAAAUUGAACAUGCACUACUUGCCACUGACCAUGCAGCUAAGGCGGAGGUACAUGUCAACCCGGGCGACGCUGAUAGGUAUGAAAGUCUUGUUGUGCAGCGUGUUCUCAGUACACAGGUCGCUUUGCCCGAGAAGAAUCAGCGACACACUCUGUUCCAUACAAAGGGUGUUGUGCAGGAGCGGUCAAUUCGCAUCAUUAUCGACAGCGGCAGUUGCAACAAUUUGGCGAGUACCAUGCUGGUCGAAAAGUUGUCGUUACCCACUCGUAAGCAUCCAAACCCAUAUCACAUUCAAUGGCUUAAUGAUGGUGGUAAAAUAAAAAUCACGCGUUCCGUGCGAGUUCCUUUCUCCAUGGGUGCUUAUUCUGAUUUUGUUGAUUGUGAUGUUAUUCCCAUGGAAGCAUGCUCUUUGUUACUUGGUCGACCUUGGCAAUAUGAUACUGAUAGCUUGCAUCAUGGUCGUUCGAAUCAUUAUUCUUUCAUUUUUAAGGGUCAGAAAAUAAUUAUACAUCCAAUGACACCUGAACAAAUUGUUAAAGAUGAUCUUGCCCGAGCUGCUAUAACUGCUAAACAACUUGAUCCAUCGCCCUCUGUUCCUUCUGAAAUUAAGUUGAAGGCUCCUGUUUUACUUGCUACACGUGCUGAUUUUGAUGAUCUACACGGUGCUCAUUUGCCAUGCUAUGCACUUGUAUGCUCUAGUGUCCUCAUUUCACUUGAUGAUGCACCAUCUUUGGCUAUUCCCCCUAUGGUUGCUAACCUUUUGCAGGAGUACGCUGAUGUCUUUCCCAAAGACUUACCACCGGGUCUCCCACCGCUUCGUGGCAUUGAACACCAGAUCGACCUCAUUCCCGGUGCACAGCUUCCGAACCGCGCACCAUACCGUACAAAUCCGGAUGAGACGAAGGAGAUUCAGCGCCAGGUACAGGCGUUGCUUGACAAAGGAUACAUUCGUGAGUCUCUUAGCCCUUGCUCUGUUCCUGUGUUACUUGUUCCCAAGAAGGAUGGGUCAUGGCGUAUGUGUGUAGACUGUCGUGCUAUUAAUAACAUCACUAUUCGUUAUCGCUAUCCUAUACCACGCCUUGAUGAUAUGCUAGAUGAGCUUAGUGGUGCCAUUAUUUUCACUAAGAUUGAUUUGCGUAGUGGUUACCACCAGAUUAGAAUGAAACUAGGUGAUGAAUGGAAAACAGCCUUCAAAACGAAAUUUGGUUUAUAUGAAUGGUUGGUUAUGCCGUUUGGAUUGACUAAUGCUCCCAGCACUUUUAUGCGAGUGAUGAAUGAAGUUCUGAGGCCCUUCAUAGGAUUGUUUGUGGUUGUUUAUUUCGAUGAUAUCCUUAUUUACAGCAAAUCUAAGAAAGAGCAUUUGGAACAUUUAAGUGCUGUUUUUGAUGCAUUGCGUGCCGCCCAGUUAUUCGCUAACAUGGAAAAAUGCAUCUUUUGCACACGACGUGUCUCGUUUCUUGGUUAUGUUGUUACUCCACAGGGCAUUGAGGUGGAUAGCAGCAAGAUUGCUGCCAUUCGGGAGUGGCCUACACCGACGACGGUCACACAAAUUCGGAGCUUUCUUGGACUUGCCGGUUUUUACCGCAGAUUUGUUCGUGAUUUUAGCUCCAUUGCAGCGCCUCUACAUGAGCUUACAAAGAAAGAUGUACCGUUUGCUUGGAGUGAUUCGCAGGAGGAAGCGUUCAGCACUUUGAAAGAUAAGUUAACCCAAGCUCCCCUAUUGCAAUUGCCUGAUUUUAAUAAAGUAUUUGAGCUUGAAUGCGAUGCUAGCGGUAUUGGGCUAGGUGCUGUUUUAUUACAAGAAGGAAAACCAGUUGCUUAUUUUAGUGAAAAAAUAAGCGGUGCUAGUCUGAAAUAUUCUACUUAUAAUAAGGAGCUUUACGCGUUAGUGCGUACUUUACAUACAUGGCAGCACUAUCUUUGGCAUCGUGAGUUCAUAAUUCAUUCUGAUCAUGAGGCUUUAAAACAUAUUCGUACCCAAACAAAUCUGAACCGUCGUCAUGCUAAAUGGGUAGAAUUCAUUGAGUCUUUUCCUUACAUUAUUAAACACAAGAACGGGAAGGACAAUGUUAUUGCUGAUGCUUUGUCUCGUCGCUAUACCAUGCUGUCACAGUUAGAUUUUAAAAUCUUUGGUUUGCACACUGUAAAAGAUCAAUAUGUUGACGAUGCUGAUUUUAAAGAUGCUUUCGGCCAUUGUAUUAAUGGGAAACCAUGGGGCAAAUUUCACAUACAGGAUGGGUUCCUGUUUCGCGCUAACAAGCUGUGUGUUCCAGCUAGCUCGGUUCGUCUUUUGUUGUUACAGGAAGCACAUGGAGGCGGUCUCAUGGGGCACUUUGGCGUCUACAAGACACAUGAGGUGUUGGCUGCCCACUUCUUUUGGCCUCGGAUGCGCGCUGAUGUUGAGCGCCUUGUUGCACGCUGCACUACUUGUCAGAAAGCUAAGUCACGGUUAAACAACCAUGGUUUGUAUAUGCCUUUGCCUGUUCCUACUUCCCCUUGGAUUGAUAUUUCGAUGGAUUUUGUUUUGGGAUUGCCUAGAACUAAGAAGGGGAGGGAUAGCAUUUUUGUGGUUGUUGAUCGAUUCUCCAAAAUGGCUCAUUUCAUACCUUGUCAUAAGACUGAUGAUGCUAGCAAUGUUGCUGAAUUAUUUUUUAGAGAGAUUAUUCGUUUGCACGGUAUUCCCAAUACAAUAGUCUCGGAUCGUGAUGCCAAGUUUCUGAGUCAUUUUUGGAGAUCUCUGUGGAAUAAAUUAGGAACUAAAUUGCUGUUUAGCACCACUUGUCACCCUCAGACUGAUGGUCAAACUGAGGUAGUUAAUCGAACUUUGUCUACCAUGCUUAGGGCUGUUUUAGACAAAAAUUUGAAACGUUGGGAGGAUUGCUUACCUCAUGUUGAGUUUGCUUAUAAUCAUGCAACACAUUCUUCUACAAAGAUGUGCCCUUUUCAAAUUGUUUAUGGUUACAUUCCUAGGGCGCCUAUUGCUUUGUUUUCGCUUGAUGCUACGGACGCCCCACACAUAGAUGCUCUUGCACAUGUUGAACAAAUGAUUAAUCUCCAUGAACAAACUCAACAAAACAUUGCUGCUGCUAAUGCUAAAUAUCAGAUUACUGGUAGUAAAGGCCGGAAACUAGUUACUUUUGAACCUGGUGAUAUGGUUUGGUUGCAUUUGAGAAAGGAUCGUUUUCCUACUUUGCGCCGUUCUAAAUUGAUGCCUCGUGCUGCUGGUCCUUUUAAGGUACUAACCAAGAUUAAUGAUAAUGCUUAUAUCCUUGACCUGCCUGCGGAGUUUGGUGUUUCCACUAGUUUUAAUGUUGCAGAUUUGAAACCGUAUGUGGGAGAAGAUGAGGAGUUGCCGUCGAGGACGACUUCAGUUCAAGAAGGGGAGGAUGAUGAGGACAUCAACACCAACACGAGCACAUCUACACCAGCAGCACCUUCUCCAGCCCAGGCACCAUCUUCCCCAGUCCAGGCGCCACCCCUUCCACCUGGGCCAGUGACUCGGGCCCGUGCAAGAGAAUUGAACUACAUCAUGUUGUUAAAGAACGAAGGCCCGGAAGAAUAGACGACCAGCCCAAUUGCGGCCCAUAAUGGACGACCUAGGGUUGGCCGCCCCUAGGGGCUGCGCCCCCUCUCUAUUUAUACAGGAGCUGCGCCUCCUUUAUUUUCCGAGUUUUGUUUUACGUUAGCCUUAGCUACUUUCGAACACGCGCAAAUCUGCGCUGUCCUCGUGUAUUCAGAACUCCACCCUCGAGUAAUAGAUUAGAUUGCUCGCAUCUUGUUCUUGUUCGUUCUUCGUUUGCGCACAGGAAACGAUCUUCGUGAUCAGGCCGAUCUCGCAUCAGCAAGGUCGGUAACCACAGGGAGUUGGUUCAGCGAUUGCAUUGGCGCCUCGGGCUUGCUCGUCGUAGUCGGAUCGCAAGGGUCAUCUUCCGCCAAAUCGGAAUUAUCUCUACUCGCCGAAAGAUCGGGCACCUCAGCUACAUCAAGUACAUUCCUGCCUAUCUGAGAAUGGAGAACCUUUGCUGUCAUUCUGCUGAAACUUCCUCCAGCAUUUUUAAGCCCCUCAGGCAUCCGAAGGUAGCAAUAUGUCCCACUAGGGGUUAUGAAGCUGGUUUUUGGUUCAUCUUCCUUCUUCAUCCAUAUUUGAUGAUAGCCUGAAUAGCAAUCCAGCAAACUCAUGAGCUUUGAUGAAGCUGCUGCAUCAACUAAGGAAUCUAUCCUUGGCAAUGGAAACUCGUCCUUCGGAUAGGCUUUAUUAAGAUCAGUAAAAUCGAUACACAUUCUCCAUUUACCAUUGGCCUUCUUCACCAUAACAGUGUUAGCCAACCAUUCUGGAUAUUUUACCUCUCUAAUAACUCCGGCACUGAGGAGUCUUUUCACUUCAUUUCGAGCACCUUCGGCCUUGUCAUCAGACAUCUUCCGAAGCCUCUGUUUCCUGGGUCUGAAGGAUGGAUCAACAUUGAGCGAGUGCUCAAUAACAUCCCUGUUAACUCCGCAAAGAUCAUUAGCUGACCAAGCAAAAACAUCUUUAUUGUUAAACAAAAACCUUAUCAAGGUUUUCUCCUGCUCUUCGGACAAUUGAGAUCCCAAUAGCACCUUCUGCUCUGCUAUAUCCUCACAUAAGAGCAUGGGUUUCGGCUGGUCAGCCGAAGCAGCUUUUUCCCUUCUGAACUUGUAUUACUCACAAGCUUCAGUUCCAUCUAUAUUAUGGAUUGCUUUUGAGUCUGUCCAAUUUCCUUCGGCCCUUCUAGCAGCUUCUUGACUUCCAUGAAUAGCAAUGGGCCCUUGGUCCGAAGGUAUCUUCAUACAAAGAUAAGCUGGAUGCAGAAUUGCUUCGAAGGCAUUAAGGGUACCACGACCAAUGAUUGCAUUGUAAGGGUACUCCAUGUCAACGAUAUCAAACAUAAUUUGUUCAGUUCUUGUGUUGUUGAUGAAUCUGAAGGCCACUGACAUUGAGAUUUUGCCGAGUGCUACAAUCUGCCUUCCUCCGAAGCCACAGAGGGGAUGUGUGGCAUCAAGAAUUUUAUCUUCGGGCUCUUGCAUCUUUCUGAAGGCUUUAGCAAAUAUGAUGUCAGCUGCACUGCCUGUAUCAACCAAAACAUUGUGGACCAGAAAUCCUUUGAUAACACAAGAGAUAACCAUAGCAUCAUUGUGUGGGUAAUCCUUGAGUUGAAGAUCCUCUUGGGAGAAGGUAAUAGGAAUGUGAGACCAUCUUGACUUGAUGAAGGGUCCUUGCACCCCGACAUGCUGUACCCUUCUCUGUGCUUCCUUCUUCUGCUUCUUGUUGGCUAGUUCUAAACAUGAACCGCCUGUUAUCGGGAGUACUAGCUUCGGAACCGAAGCAGCUCCAGCUUGAAUAUUGAACGAAGCCAUCAACUCAAAAAAAGUGGUAGUGAGUUCACCGGAGGUGGGCGCCAAUGUUGGGGACUUGUUCUCAAAUGCUAUGAAUUAAGAACAAUGUAACACCCCAGGUGUUACUCAGGGUGUCCAUCCCAGGGUUACCCCUUUACCCAUUAUCACAUGAAGACUGAAUUGGGCAAAGUAUACCAAACUUGGAAUUCUAGGUCCUAAGCAAGUGUAAUCCACCUUGGAUGUCAUGCCCUAGCUUAUCAUGCACAUCUAAGUGGGGAUCUCCCAAAACCCUAGAGCAAAACCCCCAUGGGCAAUUAUAACCCUAAUUGAAGCCAUGAUCAAAAGAUCAUGUAAACAUCAUGAUCAUGGUUUGGGCCAAAUAUAAAAGUUGUAAUAUACUUAAUAACCUACAAUUAAUAGUAAGGAAGUACCCCCAAAAAGUUUUCAGAAAGGUCCUAAAAAGAUCACCAAAGGUUGAACACAAGGGAAAAAUGCAGAUUUUGUCUAAGUCAAAAACCAACCCUUGAGCAAAGAUCCCUCAUGUUCACCUUGAUCCCCUUUUCAAAACCAGUCGACCCAAUUAGCAAAGUGGCGCCAAAUAAACCCUAGAAUGCCCUGGAAAAGUUUGAACCUAAGCCAAAACCAUUUGACACGAGUUGGCACUGGUUUUGUCUCGGUUUGCACAGGGCAGACAGACAAGACUUGGCGCUACCAUAUCUCCUCAACCAGACCACAUCUACUCUUGGAAAUCACAUGAACUAGGUAGCUCUAGGUACAGGGAAGAGAUCUCCCACAGGCGGUAGGGCGAGAUUCGUACGCUUGGCCGCUCAGCAGAGCGAAGAACACGGGCAGAAGCAACGCGCCACGUGUUCGACGCGCUCUGAGCUCGCCAGAGCACGCCCGCGCGCGCGCCCCGCGUGCCCGCGUCGCGCCAAACGGUUGAACCGGCGCCCCGGCCGCGUCCGCGCCUAUAAAACCCGCCCCAGCGCUCGGUUGCCUUCCCCGUUAUCCCCUCCGUACCUCGCCGGACUCGCCCGAGCCAGCCAUUAACUCCGGCGACCUCCCCGCAGCCCGCCAGUGCCGACCAAGAGCCACCGCCGUGGCCAACCCCUCUCCAGUCCCCCUCCGUUCGAUUCAAGCCCCCAGAUAGCUUCCUGGUGAGACCGUGAGCCUUGCUCAAGCUUGAACCGAGGGCCCGCGUCACCGGAGAAGCCAAAUCGCGCUCAUCGGAGUUCAAGAACUCACCGGCGCACGUGGACCGGGUAAACCCCUUCACCAUUUCCCGAUUCGUUGCGCGCAUGGCCUCUGUGUCAUUUCGUGAAGCUCCUCGUGCCCAUUAAUUGAACUCUCCCGCCGUGGUUUGGCCGGAGCAGGCGCCGCCGUCGAUCCCCGCCGCCUGUGUUCGUGGCCAGGGGAGCUCCGACCACCUCUGACGCCGACCCGCACAUCGACGUGACCGUCGCGACCUCCUGAACAUCGCUGACCACCUCGCCGGACCUCCCUCGCCGCCGGUAAGCCGCGCCACCCUUUUCUUUCCCGCGGCUACUGUUUCAGUUAAGGGAAGGACUGCGGGUGAGAGGGAGAGAAAUCCAGGGGGUUAAGUGAAAAGUCAGAGACUCAAGUGAAUAGUGGCGUAAGGGUAGAUCUGCGAGGUUUGAUUCGGUUUAAACCCAGGGACCUCGCCGCAAACUGUUUUUCCAGAAAAACUUAAUUAAAACCUGAUUUAAAUUCAAACAGAAACUUUAAAAACCCAUAACUUCUGUUUGGUUUAUCCAAAUUUGGUCAAACUAAUUUUGCCAGACUCUAAAUAAUGUAACCUGUCUAAGAAAAAUAUAAAACCCCAUAAGCACUAGAGAAAAAUAUAAAGUUAUGAUUUAAUUACAGUUUGGACCAAAAGCUUAAUAAUAGCAAGAAAAAUGGUUGUACUAUUUAACUAAGGUUAGAAAAAUUUGGAGAAGUUUAUAUCUACCUACUGACCUAGUUAAAAAUGUUAAACCCCUCUGUCCAUUUCAUUAAAUUAGUUUUAACCCCUUAUUCCAUAAUAUGCUUAAGUUUAAGAAAAAUAGAAAAAGUGACAUAAAUAAUGAACCAGAGGGCACCCCUAUUUUUGUUGAGAUACUUAGUCAAUGUAGUUCACUGGAAAAAUGUAUCAUACCCUGCUGUAGUGUAAAAUAAGAAAGCUACCUUUUAAAUUAAUAAAACAAGGAUAACUUAGAAAAAACCUACAAAAAUAACCCUAAGGUAAAACCUCCCCAAACCUUAGGAUAACUAAUGUGUUGAUAAUAAGAACUUAAGAAAAAUCUGAAAUCUGUUGUUUGAUAUUUUUCAAACAACAAGUUAGUUCUAAUCACCCUUUUUGCACCAAACUUCAAAAAUCCAUCAUUAAUCAACCAUCAUGCUGCCCUCUGUCCUUUUUGGUACAAGAGCUUUUUAUCACUACUAGAGGCCAACAAAAAUAACCAUUAGGUCAGGACCCACUUUAAUAAAAGACUUGUAGUGUAAAGUGGCCCUUUUUGCCUAACUUUGUUAUUUUUGUUUAAAGCCUAACUUUUAUACUUUAAGCCUCAAAUUCUCAAAAUAAGCUCAAAUAGCCAGUGACAACCCACUGUAAUUUUUACAGAAUUUUUGGAAAUUUUUAAAACCCUGUUGUAGUUCAAACCUACCCUAGAAACCCUAAAUGGAAAUUAAGGAAAGGAAAAUGAAUAAUGGAAAUUUAUGUCAUCUUAAGACCUUUGUAAAUUGUCCACUAAAAUCUAUAAAGGCAAUACCAAUCCACUGUAAUAAUCUAAAAGAAAACCUAAUCUUAAAAGGUAAUAAGUUUAUAUCUAUAUACCACUAGAAGCCCCGCAUGACUAAGAAACCCUAAAUUACUUCUUGACUUAGUUUCUUUAGCUUAAUGUUCUUAAAUCUUGCAUAAUCAUGACAUACAUGUUCAUUGCAUUUCGAUAGACUGUAAUCUUGCUGACGGAGAGUACAUCCUCGUGCCGGAGCAAGGAGCUGCUCAGGAGGUAGCCCCGGACCCAGCACCCGAGCCUGCUCCAGAGGACCUGCCUGCCACUGCUUUGGAAGGCAAGCCCCGGUUUUAUGCAUAACCUGUUAUUUAUGCUAUUUUACUUCACUUAAUGAUUGUAGGUUUGAUUGUGCACUUAGGUGUAGGAGUUGUUUGAAACCCUAGUUGCAUGAUCUCAGGAAUCCCUUUGAGAUGAAUACUAGUAUGACAGGUCGAGUAGUUGCUUUAUUUAAUUAGGAUCUCGGUAGAAGACGAGUGAUUUUUCUAGCACUCGCGCGAGAUCAGGAAAUUGAUUGUACCCACUUUCACACUGUCAUGAUACUAGUUGGUGGACAACAAUCCAUGGGGAUUGGUUGUUUGCAAGAUGGAAAAAGGAAUAAGGAUUAACGUGCGGAUACCUGUGUCAAGCGUUUGAAUGUACUAAGCACAUGCCGAGAAAUAUGGUAAAUCGGUAAGCCUAGUACCUGAGUGAACCUGCCCGCAGAUUGCCCUCCUCACGCGACCUGAGACGAGGUCUCCCAUUCCGGUUAUGGUGGGUACAAGUGCGGUCACUGCACGACGGCCAGUCGGGGUCAGUGAGGCAUUGUACGCCAAGGCGGUGAGCCCCUUUCUGUUGCCAGGGAAUCGAUGGGGACGGUUGAUAUGUGUGGGGACGGAGUGCCCCUGCAUGUCGUGUGUUUAGGUUUACCUUGCAAGGAUAAAAACUCGAUUCGAAUCGUCUGCUUCUCGCAGCUAAUGAGACUGCUUGAUCCAUUGUACUGCAUUGAGUAAUAAGUGGAAGUACGUUGAGUUGAGAUCAGAUGUUGAUUGUUAAUAAUGCUUGCUACCAUGUAUGAGUAGAUAGUCCAUUUUUAGCCUUAAGAGAGUCACACUUAACUUUGACUAAGUUAAAACCUUGAUGUAGAAACUCAGCUAGUGCUUUUGGCAACCAAACCCCACAGCCAAACAGCUGCAUGUCUAGAGGUAGAGGAGUAGACUCCUCACACCGGGUAAGUCUAGCUGAGUAUUAGUAUAAUCAGCCUUGCUUGUGGCAUAAUUUUUACAGGUUCUCUGGAGGAGAUGGUUGCCGGGAUGACUUGGCCGUCCACCUUGCCACCGGGUUGGACUGUUGAGUGGGACCCUGCCUCGGCUGAGGAGGAGCAUGAGGAGUGAUGGGACAGGCUUCCCCAUCUCUCUGUCUAAUUAUCGUUAGUUUUAUUCCGCUGCACUUCAAACAAUGAUGGUUACUUUUGCAAAAACUCCGAUGAUGAUGAUGGUGAUGUAAUAAUUUAACAUUGUGGCAUGUAUGGUUUUAUGCUUUAUUGUAUUUGCUCUGUGACUCACCUUCGAGUGAGAUUGUGGUACUUGAUCCUGUCAGUGGCCGUGUCGGACUAGAUCCGAGGGAUUGACGGGUUAUUCCCAUUUAAGUGUGGUCCAGCCUCUAAGGCGGGGCUUAGGCACUUAAGUUGGAAUAAUUCGGGCAGUUCCGCCACAAACAAGGCAACAUAAAAUGUUAAAUGUUAAUGUCCUUCGUCCGCUGAAGCACUAUUCCCUCAAGGAUUUAAUGAACUUCGGACGAAGGUUAAAACGACACAAUUACGAAGGUUGGAUUUUCAUAAUUAAAUUCUCAAAGAUUAUAUAAAAUAAUGUGAGAUAUAAAGCAUUAAAGACAAGUAAACUAUAAGAAAACAACAUCAUAUGCAUAUUAUAUAAACUUGAUGUAUUCAAACACAAUAUUAGAUACAUUUAUACCUCUGCCUUGCCAAGGAAUAAUUCCACAGUGAUGUGAUUGCAAUUACAGGAAUGCGUGAACAGUAAAGGAAUACUGUUCACUAUUUAUAGGCACAAGACACAGCCUGUGAGGAAUUACAAUCAUGCCCCUCGUAAAAGUUUACAACAAUGACUCAAACACUUGUGGACUAAAAGGUCAUUCUACUUUUAAGUCGGUUUGCAAUUCCAAAGCUUCAUGAACAGCAACCUUCGGUCAUCACGUGCAGACAGCUUCAGCCGAAGCUGUUUCUUCCUGCAGGACCUUCGGCGACGAAGCAUGGUCCCAACAAUGGCGAUGCGCAACCCGUUAACCAGAGCCUCGGACUCGACCACAUUGUUUGAAGCCGGGAAAUGGAGGCGCAGCACGUAACGGAGGUGCUUUCCGAGGGGUGAGAUAAAGAGCAGGCCCGCGCCCGCUCCUGUUUUCAUCAGCGACCCGUCGAAAAACAUGGUCCAGAGUUCUGGUUGGAUCGGAGUUGCUGGAAGCUGGGUGUCGACCCAUUCAGCCACAAAGUCUGCCAAGACUUGGGACUUGAUGGCCUUCUGAGGAGCAAACGAGAUUGUCUCGCCCAUGAUCUCCACCGCCCAUUUCGCAAUCCUACCCGAGGCCUCUCGGCACCGGAUGAUCUCCCCCAGGGGGAAGGAUGACACCACAGUCACCAGAUGAGACUCGAAGUAGUGUCGCAACUCACUGAUGAAGUAGACCGGCCUCUGGACGAGCAAUGCAUGCCCUUCUUCUUCGUGCGCCCCUGAGGCAACUUGUCCUUCCGGAAGAUGGCCUCGACCGCCUCCUGACCAAAGGCGAACUUGGUGGCGAUGUCCAUCAGCUCGCUCGCCCUGGUGGGAGUCUUGCGACCCAGCUUGCUCACCUGGUCGCGAAAAGUGGUGCCGGCGAGGAACGCACCGAUGACAUCUGAGUCGGUGAUGUUGGGCAGCUCGGUGCGCUGCUUCGAAAAUCGCCGGAUGUAGUCCCGCAGGGACUCUCCUGGCUGCUGGCGGCAGCUUCGGAGAUCCCAGGAGUUCCCAGGGCCCACGUAUGUGCCCUGGAAGUUUCCGGCGAAGGCUUUGACCAGGUCGUCCCAGUUGGAGAUCUGCGCAAGAGGCAGAUGCUCCAUACAGGCCCGGGCAGCGUCGGAGAGGAACAGGGGGAGGUUGCGGAUGAUGAGGUUGUCAUCGUCCGUUCCACCCAGCUGGCAGGCCAGCUAGUAGUCCGCAAGCCACAGUUCCGGCCUUGUUUCCCCCGAGUACUUGGUGAUGGUAGUCGGGGUUCGGAACCGGGUCGGGAACGGUGCCCGUCGUAUGGCCCGACUGAAAGCUUGCGGACCGGGUGGUUCGGGCGAGGGGCUCCGAUCCUCCCCACUGUCAUAGCGUCCCCCAUGCCUGGGGUGGUAGCCUCGGUGCACCUUCUCGUUGAGGUGGGCUCGACGGUCGCGGCGGUGGUGCUCGUGGCCGAGGCGACCCGGGGUUGCAGGCGUUGCGUCUCGCGUGCGCCCGGUGUGGACCGAGGCUUCCCGCAUGAAACGGAAAGUCACGGCGCGAUGCACCGGGGGGGUACCCCUGCCUUUGGCAGGCAGAGCUUUCGGCCCGUCGGACCGCGGCAUCCUCCAGGAGAUUCUUGAGCUCUCCCUGGAUACGCCGCCCCCCGGUGGUGGAUGGUUCCGGCAUCGCUCGGAGUAGUAUUGCUGCCGCAGCCAGGUUCUGGCCGACCCCGCUGGAAGCCAGAGGCAACCUUGCCCUGGCAUCAUCAGUGAUGCGGUGCUGGACGUCCUGGGCCAGAUGACACGCUUCUCCGGCCGGUGCUCGGCCUGCCCACUCCUGCCCGAUGUUCUGUCGGAGCUGCACAAGUUGUUCUGCUUCCUCAUCGAUCCUGGCCUGCAUCUCACGGAUUUGCUCGAGUUGUGCGUCCUGACCCCCCGCAGGGAUUGGGACCACAGCUAGCUCCCGAAGGAUGUCAACGCGAGGCGCAGGCCUAGGGGGAUCGCCAUCCUCCGGCAUACCAAGGUGGUUGCCUUCGUCGAGACCCCCUAGAUCGACAUGGAAACAUUCGUGACUUGGGCCACAGUCCUCGUCGUCAAGGCUGUGGCCACCAUCGGAGCAAUCGGAGAGGUAGUAGUCACAUGCGGUCAUGAAGUCCCGCAUGGCACUAGGGUUAUCGAGCCCGGAGAAAUCCCAGCCAAAGUCGGGCUCGUCAUCCUCCUCGGAACCUGGGGGCCCGUAGGUUGAGACGGCCGUCAGUCGGUCCCAGGUUGACCACAUAUGGUACCCCAGAAGGUUGGGAUAUGCCUUUACGAAAGCGUCCACCGAAGCGAGAUCGCUCGGUGGGUCGAGGCUGAAUCUAAAAGGCACAGGGUGGAAAACAGACGGUACCUCUUGAUCGACGGAUGUUGACGGAGCCGCGUCGGGGACGGACUGCACCGUGAUCUCAGGUACGAGGCUAACACCCAGCAAGUCCUUCGCGAGCGUGCUGGCGUCAUCCGUUCACUUGGGGUUGGCGUGUUGCGGGGAAACGACGCUCGUCUUCGUCUCAGACGUGAGGUCAACGCCCGAUGUGUCCCCCGCUGGGGCGCCGGCGUCGUCGAUUCGCUCGACAGCCAACGAGGUGUCGCCUCCGGCUUGGCCAUGGUUGCCUCGCCUCCUCCUCCUGUGGCGGGGAAGGUGACGGGACAGGCCUGGAUGCUGCUCUUCCGCCAUGGGGGCAAGACGUCAUCGAUUCCGCCGCCGGCGGGCGGGUUGACGGCCGCCAUUGUCGUUGUCGCGCGGCGGAGGAAGGAGUACCAUGUCGUAGCUGUCGUCGAGGGACAUGAACUCGAGACUCUCGAAAUGGAGCAUCGUCCCGGGCUGGAGAGGUUGCUGGAGACUACCCAUCUGGAGCUUGACGGGAAGGUAUUCGUCAACACGCAGCAGGCCCCUACCUGGCGCGCCAACUGUCGGCGUUUCGACCCCGGGGGGUCCCUGGACCGACGAGUAAAUUGUCACUGCGUGUCCCAGCCCAGAUGGGUCGGCGCGAGACGGAACACAAGGGGGAACAAAAAAGGGAACCGCGGCUCGUGUUGUCCUGCGCCCAGGGCGGAUGCGUUUGCAGUAGGGGGUUACAAGUGUUCGCGAGGGAGAGUGAGAGAGAGAGAGAGAGCCUGUUCGUUAGCCCGUUGUCCCGCGUGGCCACCUUCCCGUACGAGGGCCUUGGACCUUCCUUUUAUAGAUGUAAGGAGAGGGCCCAGGUGUACAAUGGGGGGUGUAGCAAUAUGCUAACGUGUCUAGCAGAGAGGAGCCAGAGCCCUAUGUACAUGCCGACGUGGCUGUCUGAGAGGUGUUGGUGCCCUGUUCAUGUGAUGUCGUGGCCGUCGGAGGAGCGCAUAAACCCUGUAGAAGCACAGCUGUCGGGGCUGUCGGGUCCUUGCUGACGUCUUCUUGCUUCCGUAGGGGGCUAAGAACCGCCGUCGUCAUGGAGCACGCGGGGUGCCAUCAUUACUUGUUUACCGAGGCGAGCCAGAUGGGACGCCGGUCUUGUUCCCCGUAGCCUGAGCUAGCUAGGGGUAGGGUAAUGAUGUACCCCCCUAUAACGUGGUCAGUCCGAGCCCAAGGUCGGGAGAGGCGGUGACUCCACCGAGGUCGAGGCUGAGUCCGAGCCCUGGGGUCGGGCGAGGCGGAGACCGUCUUCCGAGGUCGAGGUUGAGUCCGAGCCCUAGGGUCGGGCGAGGCGGAGACCGUCGUCCAAGGUCGAGGUGGAGUCCGAGCCCUAGGGUCGAGCGAGGCGGAGACCGUCUUCCAAGGUCGAGGUUGAGUCUGAGCCCUGGGGUCGGGCGAGGCGGAGACCUUCUUCCGAAGUCGAGGUUGAGUCCGAGCUCUGGGGUCAGGCGAGGCGGAGACCGUCGUCCGGGGUUGAGGCGGGGGCCGAGCCCUGGGAUCGGCCGAGGCGGAGCUUCCUAUGGCGCCUGAGGCUGGACUCGGCUGUUGUCGGCCCCACCCUGGUGAGUGGCACAACAGUCGGAGCAGGGCAGGCGGCGCUGUUUUCCUGUCAGGUCAGUCAGUGGAGGGGCAAAAUGACUGCGGUCACUUCGGCCCUGUCGACUGAGGAACGCGCGUCAGGAUAAGGUGUCAUGUGAUCCUUGCAUUGAAUUCUCCUACGAUAUGGUCGGUUGGCGUGGCGAUCUGGCCAAGGUUGCUUCACUGCGAAGCCUGCCUGAGCUGGGCCUCGGACGAGUCAAAGGUGCGCCCGUUGCUUGAGGAGGCCCUCGGGCGAGGUGUGAAUCCACCUGGGUCUACUGUUCCUGCCCAAGGCUGGGCUCGGGCGAGGCGAGAUCGUGUCCCUUGAGCGGACGGAGCCUUGACCUGUAUUGCGCCCAUCAGGCCUCUGCAGCUUUGUGUUGAUGGUGAUUACCAGCCGAGUUUAGGAGUCUUGGGGGUACCCCUAAUUAUGGUCCCCGAUAAUUCUUAUGUAAAAAUAUGUUUUCUUGUGCCUGUUUGUAUUCGUUGCGCGUUGCAAAUAGAUUGCGAUCUGUUCCUGAGCUUUGAGGAAUCGACGAUCAAGAUUUGGUGAACCACUCAUCCCGAGAUCAAGUUCUUCGAGUUCUACAAAGUUGAAGACCCUGAGCAUUUGAUUGGUAAGGCAAGUGUCCUCUAACCUAUUAUGUCCCAUUUACUUUAUAAUUCAUCAACCCGCAUACCAUAAUCAACCUAAGGAUUGACUAGUAUUCUGUUUUCCUAUCCUUGUUUACCCUUUGGGAAUUGAUUAUUAUGAUUAGUUCUAUGCUAGCUCUUUACUUUAAUCAAUGAACAUGAUGAGAUACAAUGAUGAUACUAUGAUUUUAUUCUGGAUAUGAUGAUAUACUUGUGGCAUUUUAGGGGACUCGAGCGGUUUCUGGAGUGCCUCUCUGUAAGGACCUGUUCGUUGGAUGACCACCCGGGAAAAUAGUGCAACCAUGAGAGUGGUAUGGGACGCCCUUAGCUAAUUAAUUAGAGGAACUGAGGUGUAGUUCGCUUCAUCGUCGUGCCGUCAAUGGGGCUCGGUGUAUGCAGCUCGCUCUGCUGAGGGUGGUUUGCCCCUUGGAGAGGACUGCAGUACAUUUAGGAAACCUAACGGGCGGCUACAGCCUCAGGGAAUCUUUGUAAAGGCUUCAUAGUGAAUCCCUGGCCAUUCACCUCGGGAGUGAACAAGGGUCUUGCAAGCCCGUGCUAGAGAGGGAAUCACGGCUCGUGGGUAAAGUGUGCAACCUCUGCAGAGUGUUAUGAAACUGAUAUAUCAGUCGUACUCACGGUUAUGAGCGGCCAAGGGAGCUCCAUUGAUUAGAGACACAUUGAUCAGAGAUGUUUUGGUUACAGAUGAUGAUGAGGAUAAUGUUGGUUUCUAUUAUGAUUAUGAUUAAGAUUAUGAUUUCAGGUAUUCUUUCCGUUUGGAAGGAGUACUUUUGGGCUAACAACCUAGGUUAAUGUUAAAACCUGGCUCUCUACUAGUAAUAAUUACCUGACCAACUAAAAGCAACUGCUUGACCCUAACCCCACAUAAAGCUAGUCCACUACAGCCAAACGGGAUAUUUGCUGAGUACGUUGAUGUGUACUCACCCUUGCUUUCACAAAACACAAGGUUGCCUUUGGUACAAUCUAUGCUCAGGUAAAGAAGGUGUCAAGGCGGAUCUUCAGGAGUUCCAGGACUUCUACGAGUUCGGGGAUUAGGCUAGCGACCUCCCCCAGUCAGCUGCCUGUGGUGGGUUGUUUAUGUUGGCUACGUUUCGAUUCUGUGUACUUUGAUUUAUAUUAUGUAAAUGGCUCUAGUCUGUAAUAUUAUUACUUACUCUUUAUUGUUAUCCGAAGCAUUGUGCUAUGAUGUGUCAUUUAUGUAAUCGUUGUGUACGUGAAUUUCUGAUCCUGGCACGUACAUGGUUCGCAUUCGGUUUACCUUCUAAAACCGGGUGUGACACAUGACGAAGGUCGAUGCUUGCCGAAGGUGGUCGUAUGAGUUCACCGGAGGUGGGCGCCAAUGUUGGUCCUUUUUCUCAGAUGCUAUACACCAAGAACAAAGCAACACAAUUGUUAUUGAUUAGGGACCUUCGUCCUUUGACGCAUUAUCUCCCUUAGGAUAUAAUGACCUCUAGACGGAGAUCAUGAAGGACAUACCUUCAUCUUUUUAGUGAGAGAAGAUAUGAAUAAAGACAUACAAAACACAAAAAGAAUAUAAACAAUCAUUCCAAAUCAUUAUAUUAUUCAUCUCUUUAUUUUAUAAACAUGAAAAACAUCAAUAGCAAUUAUAUUACAUUUGUACCUUCAGCUUGACAGAAGGUAAAAGAGCGGAAGUGACACAGGAGUGAUUACAAGUCAGCGUGAACAGUACGAUGUUACUGUUCAUCUAUUUAUAGGCACAGACACAGCCUGGAUGAAAUUACAUUCAUGUACUUGACAUUCACUGUUAACAAUAAGGCAAAUUGUCGAGGACUAGGCAGUCUUUUCCCCCUUAAGUCGGUUUCUCCUUUCACCAUCAUUAAUGUGUUGAGCCGAAGCUCCUUCAGCCACAUCUUUGGAGCUAGCUUGUCCUUUGUUCAAACCGCACCUUCAUACCACACACACCUUCAUCUUAAAGCCGAAGCUUCCUGAAACAGUUUAUUAUACUGGAAAACAUGUUAUUUAUGUUUUUGAGGACCUUCGGAAGAGGAAGGCCCCCAACACAUGCCUAACAUGAUAAUUAUGGAAUCGACUUUCGUUGAUCCCCAACUUCCUAUAUAUUGCACUCUGUUACCCAACUGUACAAGAUAAGGGAUUACCAGAAAGUGGUAAGGUAAGAAUGAAAGAAUAUUUCUAGGUAAGUGUUUGAAAAUUAUUUUGAAGUACUACGUAAUAUCUGAAGAGAUGGGUUUCGCUCCGAUACCAGUUGUGACGAAACCUCCCAAGGUAUUAGGCCCACCUACAGUUGUCCUUGUCCUAAGGACCUUAGACAACCCUAUAGAUGCAUAUAAUUACUCGACAAGUUCGGUAACUGUAUCCUCAUCAUUUCACCCAAGAGCGCUUCACCCGUCACGCAGAUAUUACAUCACAUCGGAGGAAAGAAUAAGCAGAAGCAGAUUACAAUAACUUAAUUUACAUUCAUAAAAUAUAUAGAGAGAGUAUUAUUAUUACAAUACCAGGGUAUUUAGAGUGCAUAAAGUAUUAUUACAGACUAGGGAGGCAAAACACCCUCCCGCACAAAAGUUUAUUGUUUUCAAGUGGGAGGCCAACAUCCUCCCGCUACUAUCUUCAAUGUUGGGACUCUUUCUUGGGUACCACCUUUGAACAGAAACAACAAAACUCUGUUGUUUCCUCACCUACAACAACAUGGGUUCGAAAACCCUGAGUACGGAGUGUACUUUCACAAGUCUUACCCGACAAAAGAAAAAGACUCUCAAGGAUAUGCUGGCUUGAGGGAGUCAAGGUAAGGCUAUUCAAGAAUCAAAUACUAUGUUUGCAGAAAUUAUUACUAACAAUGGAUCCUUAAAAAUCCAGUUUUAUUAUCAGGUUAAGUCAUUACCUGAAUCUAGAGUUCUGUCUACCCUAGUUCAAGCACUUGGCCAACACUAGCCAUCUUUUCAUCAUCCCUUUAGUUUACUGGAUUGCUACGUGUAAGUCAGUGACCAAGUCUUCAUGUUCGAGAAGUAACGGCGAUCCGAAUCGAUUAAUACCUAGCUAGGGAUCUCCAAUCACACGACAUAUGUAGCACAUAACCCUUGCAUAUGUCAACUCACCACCGGGUUUCUCAAGACCAGACCGGGUUCACGCCAACCGAGAGCACAGAUACAACCGGGUCCAGCCUCUUGCCAUGGAGGGUACAUGCUACUCUCGCCAUCUCUCCACUCCCAUUGCGUGUUGGCCUUUCUAAUAUUGGUCUGCCCGAGGCAAAGCUUACCCAUGACGAGGCAUGUGACCAGUUAAAGGGUCCUCGGUCAGCAGGCGCACAUCGACAUGGUCCUUAAGCGACUCAGAUGGAGACACUACACCGAGACUUCCUUCUCAUGCAAGUCACCCGCCCGGUUUCAUCUUUAUCAUUUACAAUCCCAAAGUUUGGUACCUGGCAGAGGUACAUCUUUUCCGAUGUUGAACCCAUCACGGCCAUGAUGGAUUCACUAUCAAGUUUUAUUUUUGAAAACUUCCCAUUCCAUCUGAAGCAUCAUCUUUUGUUAAAACAAAACAUUUUUGUUUUCUAAAGCAAAACUAAGCAUCAAAAAACUUCUUAAGUAAAACAGGUAUCAAGGAAUGGUAAUCAAUUUCAAGGUAGGAAAUGCAGCAAUUGUGUAGCAUUAAACUCCUAUCACCUAAUGCAUCAUUUCAAGUGAUAAAGAAUUUAAAACAACAAGGAAAGGUAAAUGCACCGGGGCUUGCCUUGUGUUGUAGGGUUUCGGGAUAUGUUCCACAUAUAUCAAAAUAAAAACUAUUCCCGGUUGGUGGAGGCUCAGUUGGUGGUGCAACUUCUUCUUCAACUACUUCUUCCUCGUUUUCUAAACAUAACAAUAUACAUACAUAAAUGCCCAUGUGAUGCUAUGAUAGUGCAGUUAUAGUAGAACAUAGUAAGUUAUAUCUUGAAUAUAACUUUCCUUCAUGGUACUCCUAAGUCACUAGGGUUUUCUAGGUUAACACCCUAGUAGGGUUAGGCAGUUCUAAUCUAAGAAGCUAGGGUUUUGGGAUCAAAUAAUGUCCAAAACAUGUCAAACUUCACCCAAAGGCUCUAAUUAUCAUAUUAAGUUGGCCCAAAAAGUUUUAUGAUUUUUGGAGCAAUCAAGUAAUUUCUAAAAUUCUAAAAGACUAGGUUUAGGCCUUCUUAAAUGUUAAAUAAUUCAUGGUUGGGACUAAAAAUCUUGGAACUAAUUUUAUUAAAUACUAGGGGAAUUUAGAAGUCUAGUAAAAUUAAUUUUAUAAUUUUUCUAGAAUUUUCUAUAAAUUUCCUAAGCCUGGUAGAAAAAAGAAAAGGGAAAAUGAUGAAUAGUGACGGGCUGAAACCAGCCCGAACCGGCCCAUGUCCAGGCGAAACGUGCCCGCGCGCGCUUCCGCGAUGUCAACUUUACGCAGAGGACCUCGGUCAUUCAAAUAACCGGUAAAGAACCCUGUGCACUAUUCAUCUAUGUCUCUGACAUUUACAGUUAGGCCCAUGCACUACUGUUUCUUCGCAGCGCCAAGUCAAAAAGGUGAACGGCGAAGAGCAUGCCUCAAGUGAACUUGUAUUGACCAAAAUACGCAACGGUUGGUGCCCUAACUCGGCUAACACCAAAUCCUACCCAGGCGAUCCUAAUCCCUCAACUAAUUGCACGAAUCCGGGCCGAAAUCUCUCUGUCCACGACGAUGGCGAAAAUCAGAGACAAUCUGAGGUGUUCAUGACGAUUUGGUGCGGUCUAGCUUAAUCAAAUGGGUCUACGAGCAAUGGGAGGCUUGAGGGAGGCUAGAAUACCAAUCAAAGAAGCUUGAACUGACCUGCAGAGGGCUGGCCACAGCGAAGUGUUCACGGUGGCGUGGAAAACGGAUUUGGGGGAAAUGCGAAAUUGGGAGGCUCUGGUGGAUAAUCAGAGGUGCGAGCUAGUGCACUGGGUCCGUAAUAACCUAGCAGAGCUCACUAGGGCAGCAAUUUAUAGACUCCAUCGGCGGUGGCGUCCAAUUUGAAGAAAGCGCGCUGGCGGCUGGAGAGAGGGGAAGCUACUGACGCGAGCGUUAUCGUGGCUUUCACCGUGGCAAAGACUCCGACGAUGGACGGACUCACUACUACGGUUCACUCCGACAUGUUCAAGCUCCUAGGCAUGUGGCGCACAGACGGUAAGCGGCCAACGCCGGCGAAGAUCAUCUCGGCCGGCCGCAGAACAAGUGGGUACGGUGAACCACCUAGUGACCGGGUCCGAGCCAUUCCGGGCGCCAAGAUCUUUUACUCCCCUCGUUUAUCCACUUUGCACUGAGCACGAAUCGCGGCGACUGGCGCGAAUCUGGGCGCGGGAUCACCGGCAGCGAGUUCACUAAACCUGUAUUCUUCUUCAGGUUACUGUACCAUUAGAACUCUCAUCAGAGCCCCUGAUAGAGCGAUUCGCAGGGCCUUAAUCGUUGAUUUUCAUGUGGCAACUACUUAAUCUAUCUGUAACGAAGUUGUUGUCCUAUAAUCCAGCUUCGAUUUUGUUAUAGCAGUCAUACACAUAUACUUACUGGAUCAUGCUCAAAAUAGCUGCCAAUUUUAGCCCUAGAUCAUUGUCAGUCCUGAUUCAGCGUCAAGGUCGACUGACAAACCAGUUUCAUGUCUAUUUUUCUCCCAUUUCCAUGUAGCAUUAGGGCUUAAUCACUUAAUCAAAUUUGUACCUCUAACAUAGCUCUACAAGUUUGCUGUAUUGACUUAGGACAAAACCUUUAUAAAUUUAGAGAUAUAGAGCUCCAAAGUGACCCCAUUCCACUGAAACUUAGACUUAACAUAUAGUGUUCAUGGGGUACUUUUGCAAAUAAGUCCAAAUCUUUCCACACUACAUGAGAAUCCUUCAAUGUGAAAGUUACUUGGUUUGUGGUGUUCUAUCACUUUGUUAUUUGCACUUUGGUCCAAAAGUGCAUAGAAUUUUCAUUUACCCCCCUAGGGCUCCAAUAAGGCUUUUCUAGGGUUUGUUUUUAGGGUUUGGGCACACUAGGGUUUUUGUGCCACUAAAGUUCACCAAACUUUAUAUCUUGUGAACAUUUCUAAUAGCUUUUGAGAUUUUACUCAUUUUGGCUUCACUUUCAUCCAUAGGCCCUAAUUCCAGGGUUAAGUACCCUACCUAGUAUUAAGUACACCUUAAGCCACAACAUCACAACUUCUUUUGAAAUUUUACCUAGUGAAUGCAUUCUAGGUGUAGCAAACAAAAUGAAAUGUCAAUGCACAUGAUGUUAUGCUCAAGUUUUAGUGCCAGUAACACUAGAGGUGUUACAGUCAAGCAUGACUUUUGGGUAAGAGUAUUGUUUGAUACUAACAUUUUAUGAUUUCUUUGAUACUAACUUUAUUUUUGAUGUUGGACAGAGACGCUAUCGUGUGGAACCUGAGGCUCAGGAGCAUGCAGACCGAGUAUUAGAGAAAAAUGCGAAGAUGUGCAAGGAUGCAUUUUCCAAUGCUCGUCUACAAGUUGUGAACGUGUACAUGAAGCGUCGAGGGCAUUCUAUCAACAACUUUGGACAGUAUUCGGAUGUCUACAUGACUAUGGACCAGUGCAUGGAGGUAAAAAACCUAAUCUACCAGCGCAUUCAGAUAUGAAUGUAAUUAUGUGCUAAUGCUUAGAUGCAUGUAACUCUUCCAUGGAUGGAACACCAGUUGCAGGCUUAUAGGGCUCUAUGUGAGAUAUGGACUUUGCCAGAGUGGAUUGAGAAGUCAAACAGGAAUCAACUUAGGCAGCGCCAUUAGCAGGACGGGGACGAUGAUGAGGUCAGAGUCAACCAUACCUAUGGGGCUAAUGGACAUAUUUGGAUGGCAAAUCAAAUGGUGAUUAUGUAGUAUUCUAUUUUACUAAGAGAUGGAACCGGUUUAAACACAUACAUUUUGUAACACCCUAUCCAAUUCCAGGACUGCGGUACUUACUCCUGGCAGCUCUCUAGGAUCAUAUAUUGUCCCCACAGACCAACAUGGGUCUUUUGUGCACACUUUGUCCUCACUCAUGCGCACCCAAGAAAACUUCCCGGUCGGUCACCCAUCCCAAAUUGCUUCAAGCCAAGCAUGCUUAACUUGGAGGUUCUUUCGAGAUAGGCUUCCGAAAAAGAAGAUGCAUCUUGUUGGUAUGGAUACUCUAUUUAUUCUAUUAAGUCUUGGGCCAGGAUAUCACCAUCCUAGGGGCUAGGAUAUGACAUAUUUGUAGGAGGCUCAAACUGAAGUUGUCUCUAGCCCAAUCGAUGUUUAUAGGCAAGGGCAUAGAGGAAAAACAGUUAAAAAUCUAAAGAGCUAUGCAGUUAGGUGGUCGCUGAGCGUCUGGUUAGUAGUUGUUAGGAUUAAUGUUUUCUUGCCAUAUAGCUAUAUAUUACAUAUGUGAUGAACCUUCAUAUUGCAUUGUAGGAGACUUACGGGUAGGAGAAGGUUAGGAAGCAUGGUGAAGACUAUGAUUCGCGAGGAGCGCCUACCAUCGACGCUGAAGUGUACAUUCUAUUGGAGGAAAGGCCCAUGGAUGGUUUGGACAUGUGAGAUUUUUUCAAUAAGAUUGAAAUUAUGACCGAAUAUCUAAUUUUCUUGUUUUCAAGGUAUUCUAUGUUUACCAGUAUGAUCGAUUCGAUGAAGUUGCGGUCUCGUGGGGGCCCUUCAUCACAGAUGGGUUGUGGUAGAAGUCGUAGUCGGCACUGGAGCAUGGAGGAGGCUAUGAGGGAGCAGCAAGAAAAGUUUCAUGAAGAGUUACGGCAGUAGAAAAUGGCAUUCGUCCGACAACAAUCAGUGUACAUUGUCACGGAACCUCCCAUGGUAUUAGGCCCACCUACAGAUGCCCUUGUCCUAAGGACCUCGGACAACCCUAUAGAUGCACAUAAUCACUCGACAAGUUCGGUCAUCUGUAUCAUCAUUAUCAUACCGCCCAAGAGCACUUCACCCAUCACACAAACAUUACACUCAUAAUCGGAGUAAGAAUAAGAGGAAGGAUUACAAUAACAUAAUUUACAUUCAUGUAUAAAAUAUAGGGAGAGUAUUUAUUACAAUACUGGGUGUUUGAGUGCAUAACAUAUUAUUACAUAUCAGGGAGGUAAAACAUCCUCCCACCAACAAGUUCACUGAUUUGCCUCCUCCUUUGGCACCACCUUCGAGUAGAAACAUCAAAACUCAGUUGUUUCAUCACCUACAACAACAUGGGUUUGAAAACCCUGAGUACAGAGUGUACUUUCACAAGUCUUACCCGACAAAAGAAAAAGACUCUUAAGGAUAUGCUGGCUUGAGGGAGUCAAGGUAAGGCUAUUCAAGAAUCAAAGACUCUUUUUACCCAUGACGAGGCAUGUGGCCAGUUAAAAGGUCCUCGAUCAUCAAGCCUACAUCGACACGGUCCUUAGUCGACUCAGACGGAGACACUACACCGAGACUUCCCUCUCGUGCAAGUCACCCGCUCGGUCUCGUCUUUAUCAUUUAGAACACAAAGUUUGGUACCUGGUAGAGGUACAUCUUUUCAGAUGUUGAACCCAUCAUAGCCAUGAUGGAUUCACCAUCAAGUCUUUUCUUUGAAAACUUCCCAUCCCAUAUGAAGCAUCAUCUUUUGUUUAAAACAAAACAUUUUGUUUUCUAAAGCAAAGUUAAGCAUCAGAAAACUUUUAAGUAAAACAGGUAUCAAGGAAUGGUAAUCAGUUCUAAGGAAGGAAAUGCGGCAAUUGUUUAGCACACAACUUCUAUCACCUAAUGCAUUAUCUCAAGUGAUAAAGAGUUUAAAACAACAAGGAAAGGGGUAAAUGCACUGGGGCUUGCCUUGUGUUGUAGGAGGCUCAGGGUCUAUCCCACAAAUGUCAAAAUAGAAGUUGUUCUCGAAAGGUGGAAUUUCAGCUUGCGGGGCAACUUCUUCUUCGACUACAACAUCUUUUUCGUUUUCUAUACAUAACAAUACAUAUACAUGAAUGCUCAUGUGAUGCUAUGGAUAUGCAAUUAUAAUAGAAACACACUAAGUUGUAUCUUGAAUACAACUUUCCUUCAUGGUACCCGCUAGUCACUAGAGUUUCCUAGGUUAGUACUCUAUUAAGGUUAGGCACUUAUAUCUUAGGAAGCUAGUAUCUUAGGUUUGAGACCAAACAAUGUCCAAAGCAUGCCAAACUUUACCCAAGGGCUUCAAUUAUCAAACUAAUCUUACCCAAAAAGUUUUAUGAUUUUUGGAGCUACCAAAAUAAUUCUAAAAUUCUAAAAGGCUAAGUUUAGACAUCUUUAAAUGCCAAAUAAAUUCAGGUUGGGACAAAAUAUCUUGGAACUAUUUUUAUUAAAUACUAGAUGAAUUUAGGAGUCUAGCAAAAUUAGUCCCAUAAUUUUACCAUUUUUCUAGAAUUUCCUAUAAAUUUUCAAGCAUGGCAGAAAAAGGAAAAGGAUGAAUAGUACUAGGCUGAAUUCAGCCCGACCGGCCCACGUCCAGGCAAACGCGCCCACGCGCGCCCGCACUAGCAAUCUUGCGCAGGGGCCCUCGGUCAUUUGAACAAACAGUAAAGAACCCUCAGCACUAUUUCUUCACCUGAUAAGUCCCUGGCGACGGCGCGCUCACCCGUCGGCCAUCUCCUUGCUGGGACCGGCCAUGAAUGGGGACGACUGACUAAACCAAGUGCUAGACUAGCGUCCUCGAUCCUAGGCGACCCUAAUCCGUCCCUUAAUUGAGCUAUCCCGACCCAGAGUUCUUCUGUCCACGACGAUGGUGAGACCCGAGGGUGAACCGAGGUGUUCCCCACGACUAGGGUUAGUAACGUCCAAAUUCUAUGUACGGGGAGCACCACUAUACCCUAAGGAAGCUAGAACAGACAACAAUUGGGUUGGAACUACCUCAGGCGAUGCUGGCCACAGAAGAGCUCUCCAUAGCGGCGAUGGCGACUGAAUUGGGGGGAAAUCCAAAUUCAGGCGCUGUGGUGGCUAAUCGGAGAUGAGGGUUGGUGCCCUUGCUUCGUAACAACCUAGUGGAGCUAGUUGUGCACUCAAUUUAUAGUAUCCGCGAGUAGUGGCUCCAAAUUUGGAAGAGGAAAGCUGGCGACGAAGAGAGGGGGUGAGUCACCGACGCGAGCUAUCGUGGCGUUCACAGGGGCAACGUUACAGGCGAUGGACAGGAUACCUACGGCGGUUUACUGUGACGUGGUAACGCUUCUAAGUACGUGGCGUCUAGGCAGCAAGCGACAGACUCCGGCGAGGCCAUCUUGGCCAUCUGUAGGGCAAGUGGGUACGGCGACCAACUCACGGCCUCAUCCACGGUCAAGAUCUUUUCACCAUCGGCCGUUAUCCACACCCAAAGCGCACGAAUCGCAGCACCGGCAAGGAUCGCGGUGCAUGCCCACCAGCGGCGAUGGGUUCACUGAAUCUGAUCUUGUUCAGUAACUGUACCAUCGUGUUCUUCAUCAGACGUUCUGACAGGGCGAAUUGGAGAGCUUUAUUCUCAAUUUUUCAUGUGACGACUUACUAAUCUGUUUGUAACAAAGAUAAUCUCCUAUAAUCCAGCUUUGAUUUUGUUACAGCAACCAUGAUAAAAAAUCCACUGGAUCAUACUCAAAAUUGCUAUCAAAGUUUGUCCCAGUUCACUGUCAGUUGAAAAUCAGCUUCAGGGUUGACUGACAGUCUGUCUUUAAGUCCAUUUAUCUCCAAUUUCUAUACAACACCAAUGCUUAGUCACUUAAUCAACCUUGUACCCCUAACAUAGCUCUACAAGUUUGAUGUAUUUACCUAGGGCAAAACCUUUAUGGAUUAAGAAAUACAAGGCCCCAAACUUGGCCUAAUUACACUGAAUUUUCAGAGUUAACCAUAUGGGUGCUCUUGGGCCUUUUUGCAAUUAAGUCCAAAUUUUUCCACAUCACUUGAAAAUCCUCCAAUAUCAAAGUUGUUUGGUUUUUGAAAUUCUACCACUUUUAUAUAUACACUUUGGUCCAAAAGUGUAUAGAAUUUGAAAUCACCAUAUAGGGCACAAAUUAGGGUUUCUAAGGUUCAAUUUAGGGUUAUGGGUGCUUUAGGGUUUUUAUGCCACUCAAAUCCAUCAAACUUAAUCUCUUGUGAACAUUUCCAAUAACUUUUGAGGUACUACUCAAUUUGACUUCACAUUUACCCAUAUGCCCUAAUCCCAGGGUUAAGUACCCUACCCUAGGGUUAAGAACACUUCAAGUUACCACAUCACACUUGUUUUGAUGUUUUACCUAGUGGAUGCAUUCUAGGUGUAACAAACAUAAUGACAUGUCAAUGCAUAUGAUGCCAUGCUCAAGUUUUAGUUCUAGUAACACCAGGGGUGUUACAUCCUUCCCCCCAUAAAAGAAUCUCGUCCCGAGAUUUAAGGUCCUAGGGUAAGUAAUGGAAAAGGAAACACAUCACAACUUUAUUUCCUUAUUUAUCUUACAGAGCAGGGGAUGGUGUGGGGCUUGUUCCAACUUUACAACAAGGUAUAUAAAUAUUUACAGGUUACAUGAAGCUAAAAACCUAGGAAAUUUUUCUCUAAGAAAUCUUGAGUUUCCCAGGUAGCUUCGUCUUCAGUAUGUUGGUUCCAUUGUACCUUAUAGAACUUAAGAGUCCUUUUUCGAGUGAUUCUAUCCUUUUGAUCCAGAACUCGAAUGGGAUGUUCCAAAUAAGUCGAGUCUUUUUCCAAAGUAACAUCCACCACCUCGAUGGUUCGAUCAGGAAUCCGAAGGCAUUUCUUCAAUUGGGAUACAUGGAACACAUUGUGUACCGUAGAUAAUGAUUCGGGCAGUUGAAGUCUGUGCACCACUAGUCUGCAUUGUUCAAGAAUGGGAAACAAGCCAAUAUAUCAGGGUGCCAACUUUCCUUUUACCCUGAAUCGGUUAACACCCUUCAUCGUUGAUACUUUCAGGUAUACAUGAUCCUUAAUUAAAAGACUAAAGGUCGGCGUCGCUUAUCCGCAUAGUUUUCUGCCGAGCUUGAGCUUCUUUCAAGUUGUGUCUUAUCCGUUGAACUUUUUCCUCCGUUUCUUUAACCAUGUCAGACUUGAAAAACCACCAUUCUCCCGGUUCUGACCAAUUUAAGGGUGUUCGACAUCGUCGCCCGUAUAGUGCUUCAAACGGUGCCAUCUUAAUACUUUCCUAGUAACUAUUAUUAUACGAAAAUUCUGCCAAUGGCAGUCAAUCAUCCCACUUCUGUGGAAAUUCCAGGACACAUGCUCGUAACAUAUCUUCAAGUAUCUGGUUUACCCUCUCAGUUUGCCCACUUGUCUGAGGAUGAUAAGCCGAACUGUGGAGUAAUUUAGUACCCAAGGAUUUGUGCAACUCCUCCCAAAACUUGGAUACAAAUUGUGGUCCCCGAUCCGACACUAUCGUCUUUGGGAUUCCAUGUCUCAGAAUACGAGCCACAUAUAUCGGAACUUAAGUAAUGACCGGGUAAUAUGUUUUGACCAGUAGAAAAUGAGCUACCUUUGUAAGCCGGUCAAUGAUGAACCAGAUAGAAUCAAAUACUUUAGCUAUCCUGGGUAAUCCCACAAUGAAAUCCAUACUAAUAUCUUCCCAUUUCCAGGUUGGGAUGGGCAAAGAUUGCAAUGAUCCAGCGACCUUCAUAUGUAUCGCUUUGACCCGUCUGCAAGUAUCAGACUUUGCCACAUAGUGUGCAAUUUCAAUCUUCAUUUUAGUCCACCAAUAAUGUUGCUUUAAGUCUUGAUACAUCUUAGUGCUUCCCGGAUGAACGAAAUAUCGACUAAGAUGAGCUUCGUCCAAGAUUUGUUGGCGGACUUCAUCAUCUUUUGGCACUACUAUGCGAUCUUUAAACCAUAUUACUUCCUAAUUAUCUUUCCUGGAGCAAUUUACCUUGUUGGCCUCCAUUUUCUCAUGAAUGUACUUCAUACUCUUAUCUGUUCUUAGGGCAUCAAUAAUUCUUUGUAGAAGAACUGACUCAAGCUUCAAAUUCAUCAAGGUUCCUUGUUGGAUUGUCCCCAGAUUCAACCUUUCCAUUUCUUGACAUAAAGUGGUGUCAUGUGCUCUUACUGUAAGACAAUGACAAAAAGUCUUGUGACUUAAAGCAUCUGCCACCACAUUAGCUUUGCCUGGGUGAUAAUGGAUUUCCAAGUCAUAAUCUUUGAUUAGCCCGAGCCACCUUCUGUUGGGGACUUGUUCUCAAAUGCUAUGAGUUAAGAACAAGGCAACACAAAACAUUAAUGGUCAAAGUCCUUCGUCCUUCGAGACAUUAUUUCCUUUAGGAUAUAAUGAUCUUCGGACGAAGGUUAUGAAGGACGUACCUUCAUCGUCAUAGUGUAUAUUAAUAGAAGUAGAAGCAUAUGAAACAUGAGAAAUAACAUGAAUAAUCAUAUGACAUCAUUUAUAUAUCUUUAUUAUAUCAUCAUGAAUAAACAUGAACAAUAUUGAAUUACAUUUGUACCUUCGACUUGACAGAAGGCAAAAGUCCAAGUGUGACGCACGAGUGAAUACAAGUCAGCGUGAACAGUACAGCAGUACUGUUCAUCUAUUUAUAGGCACAGGGCGCAGCCUGUGUAAAACUACAUUCAUGCCCUUCAUGUUUACUAUUGUCUUAAGGACAAUCUAUCGAGGACUAGAUAGCCUUUUCCUUUUUAAGUCGGUUCCUUUUUCUGCUACUGAGCCAACGCUUCAUUGCGUGUAGCUUCAGAGCUAGUUCAACCUUCAUCCCGACCAUGCUUUUCAUAUUGUGUACAGCUUCAUUCCGAGUCCGAAGGUUCCUAUACAUAUAUUACACUUGGGAAACAUUGUUAAUCAUGUUUUUGAGGACCUUCGGAAGACGAAGGCCCCCAACAGUAGCCCCUCGCAAUACUAAUUUGUUAUAACAACGAAUUUAGACUACGAUGUGAAUGAAGGCCUUAAGCCGAAGGUCCGAAAAACACCUUCCCUUUGCUAGAAUAGCAAUAGUCAAUGAUAAACGGGGUCCACCAAGUUGCAAAGCACUGGGCGUAUAAAUAUGAACCAUAGCGGCAACAUUUGAUACGCCUUUUUUGCCAUUUGCAUUAUUUUCUCAAACUUUUAGCUCUUGCUCAUUAGCUCUUGCCUGAUUUUUUAGUUUUUAGAGCUUCGGUUUUAAAGACACGUUUGCUCCAAAUUUGAAAAGAAGAAGAUGAGUGGAGAGAAGAAGAUGACUGAAGAGAAGAAAACGACAGGGGAGACGAAGUUGUAUGAAGAGAAAAAAGUUGCAGAUCCUUUCAUUGCUGGAUUUAUCGAGUCCAUGGCAAAAACAAAUACAGAGAAAAUUACUAAGGAGAUCAUGGAGGGUUUAUCCGAAGAUUCUGAUGACAGUGAUAGUUAUGACGUGGAAAGUGGGGAUGAAGACUCUGAGGAUCGGUCGUGGCGCCCAAGCCAUACUAUCUUCGCGACAUGUCUAUUUUCAGAGUUGGAGGAGAUAGCACUGCACCUACUCCGGAGGAAAACGAAGUUGUUGUUUACCGAAGCUUCUUGAAGGCAGGCCUUCGGUUCCCGCUGAGUAAAUUUGUGGUCAAAGUAUUAAAGAUAUUCCAAAUCUUUCUUCAUCAGAUUACCCCUGAAGCUAUAAUCGGGAUGGGGAUAUUUGUCUGAGCUAUAAGGAGCCAGAGGCUAGAGUCGAGCGCAAAGUGCAUCUACAGCAUGCAUGAGCUUUUAUAUGAGACAAAGGCUAUUGGCAAAGAACAAUACCACAACAACUUUGGUUGUUACGGGUUCAUUGCCCGUUCUAAUGCAAGCCACCCAGUGCGAACAUUCUGGAAAAGAUGGCUCGAGGCCUGAAUGGAAGAGUUGUUUUAUGUUAAAAAUGAUUUAAAGACAAGGGAAGAUAUCAAAGAAAUCAUUCAGCUUCCCAUUUGGUCUCGCUUCGGCCUCCGAAGGCCGAAGGUGGAAAUUGACGGCAAUGUUGAAGCAUGUCAGAAGGCCUUUAGCACUGUGUGUGCUUUCAUUGGCACGAGGGAUUUAAUUCAAGAGCAUAUAGCCUUCAGGGUAUGGCCACUUGUGGAGAGCUAGGAUAUGCCGAAGGAGACCACCGCCGAUUCCAGUGAGGGUGGUCUGGUCCGAUUGAAGUAUACCUUCAGAUUUAGGGAGAAGUUUGAUGAGCCAGACGAUUACUGACUGAAGUGUAUUGAAGCUACCAAUGAUGAGCUACUCGCGGCAUACUCCAAGGUCGAAUAUAAGGCUUUGUCCGCAACUUUCGGGGGUCGGGGCAAGAAAAGAUUGAACAGGGUAUUUGAUGCGAUUGGCUUCGUAUACCCUGAUUACCACUACCCGCUACGAGGGCAAGGGAAAAAGAGAAAGGUUGCCGCUUUGGCCACCCCAGCUGAGCCAAAGAGCAAAAAGGUGAAGGUUCUGACUCACCGGCCGCGUUAUAUUGAACCAGCCGUAGUACCUGGAUUUGGCGAAGGGACCUCUUCAGCUGCCGAAGCAAAACAAACUGCUCCGAUUGUGCAGAGCGCUGAAUAGCCGAAGGUGCCUAAAGUCGGGCCAGCUAAAGCUAAAGAUGAUAAGGCCGAAUACAGGUGGAAAAGUGAUAAAAGUGCCAGAAAUCCUGAGCCCACCGGCAGAGGCAGAUUUGCCAAAGAUGCAAAAAGCUCCUGUAGCAACUCCCAAGAGGAGGAAGAUGGCCAGCGUGCUAGACGUUGUUAUAGAGACCACGAAGGCCUUAACUCCUGCUCCUACCAAAAAUACUACCGAAGCUGCCAAAAUCCAAGUCGAAGCCAAAGCUGGGCCUUCAGCGCCUACUGAGACGAAGGCCAUCGAGCCUGAAGAUAAGGUGGGUCAGCAAAUUUCAGAUACCAGCAAGACGACACAGCAAGAUAUGGCAGAAAAAGCAAAUUCUCCUAUCGCCGAAGCCUUAGCUGAAGAUAUUGAUUACAUUGUUCGACACGUUUCGGGGAAAAAAUUAUUUGAAGAAGAAAUCUUGGAGGCCAAACACUAUGCCCAAAGACUGAAAUAUCCGAAGGGGGCCUUAGUGUUCAAUGGUAGUAACGAAGAUGAUUUCCUGUACUGUCUCCCGGAUAACAAAGAAAUAUCCGUUUGCCGGGAGAUAGCUAAGAGUAUGGGAUUUCCUAAGCUUGAAGAAGGCUUUUCGGUCUUAUCGAAGGAUGAUCUUGCUGAUAGCCUCGCGUACAAUAGUAUAAAGGUAUAGGGGUUAACUUUGAAGCUAGAAAAUGAAGUAUUUUAUUGCCAUGCUCAACUCUUUAUUCUUCUUUUGCAGGGCUUAAUUCUAAGUAAUGCCUUGAGGGCUCAGAAGAGCGCCGAGGACAAAGGCUGUACAAUGGCUCUUAACAACCUUCGUUCUGAAAUGAUUGAACUGAGAAACGAAGGUCUGGAGAAAGACAAAAUUUUGAUUUCAUUGGUGAACAAAGCAAAGGAAGACGAAGCUAAUUACAAAGCUCAGGCCAAAGCCCAGAAAACCGAAAUUGAAGACCUUCGGAGACAACUAGUCGAAGCUAAAGAGAACUGCGCGCUCGCACAGGCUAAUCAAGAGAUCAGUGAAUACUGGAAAAAUAAGCUAGAGAAAAAUGUUGAAGAACUUCGUGAAUCCAAGGAAAGGUGCUUUGAGAAAUCCUUGAAUUGUGUGAAGAAAUUAAAAACUAGAUUCGCCAAAGUGGGCGCCUACUCUGCUGAAGAAAACUUCAUACGAGGCGACCCCGAGGGCGUCGUUGAAUGGAUAAGUGGAGAAGCCGAAGCCUUCAAAGAAAUUUUGAGUGAUCGCAGGGAUAUUUGCACAUUUUCCGGUGCGUGGGGAAUCUCAGCUAUUCUAGAGAAGGCCGGAUGUGAUCACGUUAAGGCCAUAGCCCAGGCCGAAGCUGCCUUCUCCAUAGAUGAUAUGAAGGAUCCUUUAGCCGAAGCAACUUUAAUGGCCGGGAAAUUUUAUAACGAUGUCUGGGUGAACGGUGGCCGAGAGCUGGCCCACGAAAUUAUAAAAAAGAGUGAAAAAGACACCCAUGAUGCCCGGGCAGAAGCAAAGCAAGCUGAAGAAGCUACAGAACGCGAAAGGCGUAUAGGUAUUAUUUCUUGAUUAUUUUAGCUUCGGUACUUGCUUUGUGGCUUCGAACUAAUCUAUUUACCUACUUCAGUUGAACUAUCCCCGCCUCCGGGGCCGUACGAUCCCCUUGCUGAUCUAGAAAUGAAGGAAGCAUUGGAAAUUAUAAGCAUGGCAGACUCCAUUAUCGACAAAGUCAUCGACAAACUCUUGAACGAAGUUGCAGAAAAAGUCCUUAGAGAGGAAUAGAUUUUAUUGUAAUAAUAUUUUGAAAUGCUGGAAUGUAUGGAACAAUUGAAGGAAGAUUAGGCUUCUAUUAUAAUAAAACUAUGUGACAUUUGAUGUAUGUAACAUUGAAUCGAGUAUGUAAAUUAUUGUAAUUUAUUACUUUGCGAUGCAUGAAAUUUACACACAUACCGUUUUUGAGCCUUCGGCGAAAAAACACAUUCCCUUCUUUUCAUGCUUCGUAAAGAAAGAGAUCCCUUCUUAUGACAAGGCUGAUAAAACUGUACUUCUCGAAGCUUACUUCGUGCCUUAGCACAUUUUCAAUUUGAUGAAGCAUUCGCCGAAGAUUGGCUUCGUAUUCGAUUGUUGUGCCGGUAAUGCAAUAUGAUGUAUGAUGUAAUGUUAUGCGAAAUGAUGUGAUGAUACGAUGCAAAAUGAUGAGGAUGCCGAAGACACACACCCACACGCCCACACUAGAAUACACAAGCUCUACAUCCCCUUAGGAAUGACUUUUGAGCUUCUUCACCUUCUAUUUCGGUGAUAUAAGUUCUGCAUUCCCUUAAGAACGUCUUUUGAACUUCUUCCCCUUCCAUUUCGGCAGUAUAAGUUAUGCAUCCCCUUAGGAACGACUUUUGAACUUCUUCGCCUUAUAUUUUGGCGGUAUUUGGCUCUGUGUUCCCUUUGGAACGACUUUUGAGCAGAAAACUUACAUUGUGCUCCCUUAGGAAUGACUUUUGUAGCUUCGUCAAUUUUGGCUCUGCAUUCCCUUAGGAACGACUUCAGAGCAAAACACUUACCCUGCGCUCCCUUAGGAAUGACUUUUGUAGCUUAGUUUAUGUUGGCUCUGCAUUCCCUUAGGAACGACUUUUGAGCUUCGUAAAUCUGUGAAGAAGAUAUAUUUCAUUUUGGUACAGGCAGAAUCAUUACGAGAAAUUAAAACUAAGUUUUCAUUGCUUGUUCCUCAUAUAUAAAGCAAAAUGGCAUAAAAAGUAAAAGUAUUUCAGAAGUAGGAUAUUGCUCAGUAAAUGUGCUUUGAUUCUGGUAUGGUGCUAUUGACCGUACGAGCUUCGGACUCCUCCCUGAAGUCACGUUGUUGUUGUGGGUGUUGGCGCCCUUCUGGCUGCUGGCUUCGAGUAUAUGUAGGUUGAUGAGGACAUCACUAUGAGUACGACUACACCAGGAGCACCUCCACAUCAAGCGCCACUUCCUUCAUUAGGUGGGCCAAUCACUCGGGCCCGUGCCAGAGAUCUUAACUUCGUCAUGCUACUGAAGAAUGAGGGCCCAGAAGAAUAGACAACCAGCCCAACUGCGGCCCAUAGUGGACGACCUAGGGUUUGCCGCCCCUAGGGGCUGCGCCCCCUCUAUUUAUCCAGGAGCUGCGUCUCCUUUAUUUUCGAGUUUUGUUUUACGUUAGCCUUAGCUACUCUCGAACACGCGCAAAUCUGCGCUGUCUUCGUGUAUUCAGAACUCCACCCUCGAGUAAUAGAUUAGAUUGCUCGCAUCUUUUUCUUGUUCGUUCUUCGAUUGCGCACAGGAAACGAUCUUCGUGAUCAGGCCGAUCUCGCAUCAGCAAGGUCGGUAACCACAUGGAGUUGGUUCAGUGAUUGCAUUGGCGCCUCGGGCUUGCUCGUCGUAGUCGGAUCGCAAGGGUCAUCUUCCGCCAAAUCGGAAUUAUCUCUACUCGCCGAAAGAUCAGGCACCUCAGCUACAUCAAUUGGUAUCAGAUUUCCAGGUUGAUCGGUGAGUUUAUCGAGCAUUUUUUUUCCUACAGUCCACAAAACCAUAUAAAAAUUCAGGUUAGAUCUUAUCCCAGCACCCUUUUGAGCCUCGCACUUUCUUUCAAUAAUCUGCAUUGUUGAAUUUGUGUGCUUUCGCGUCAUUUGUUGCUGGUUGCAUUGUGUUCUUCCACCAUUCAAACCCUAGCGCCGCCACCAUCUCCCGUUUGAUCACGCCACAAACCGAGUCAACAUUGUUUUCUUGUUUUUCUCCUUCGGUUACGUCAAAAAAAAAAGAAAAAAACAAACCGAGUCAACGGCCGUUUCCUUGAUUUUCUCCUUCGGUUACGAAAAAAACAGAAAAAAAACAAACCGAGUCAACAACCGCUUCCUUAUUUUUCUCCUUCGGUUACAUAAAAAAAACAGAAACAAAAAAAAAAGAAAACGAAGGAGAAAGGAUAUGGUUGUUUCAUCCCGGUCGUUUUUAAAACACAACUUGAGGAACCUUCCGUAAACCGGGCAUAACUUUUCGCUCGGGUGUCCAAAAAAUCUGAAAUUUUUACAGGAGCUUGUUGACACCAUUCUGAGGCCGGCCAAACUGACCUAUAGUCUGUUUGGGGUUCGACAAAAUUGUCAAAAAAAUUCAGGAAAAUAAAGAAAAAAAUCCGUCAAAGUUCUCGCACGUUUUUCAGAGAACUUCCUGAUUUUCUAUAGACCACAUCUGAUAUCUGUUUUAGGUGAAACUUCGUGUAGCUCCUAUCUUGUUGCUUCUUAUGCUGAGAAAAAUAUCAAAAAAAUCAUACAAAAAAGAAAAACAAAAUCACCUGUGAUUUCUACUAGUGCCUUUUUUCCAUCACUAGUACAAUAUUUACGGUACUGCCAUUCUGCUAGUUCCAUCCAUCCUUUGCACCUGUGGCCAGCAAUAUAGUUUCGUGUUUUGCACUAUAAUUCAACUUUGCAUUAUUGUUUGAUCGUGCUAAUCCUUGACUUGAGUGCAGCCUACCCACAACUCCACAUAUUUCUACGACGAGCAGGUUUCUGUUUCUCCACGCAAUCGCUCAUCCAAUCUUUCACCGAUUCCACCUGUUGAUUGCAGUUCACCACUGUGGCUUGGUAAGAACGGAUAAGAACUUGAUAACAGCACUAGUGUGAGCGCCUUGUGAGCAGUACACCCCUGUUUUUGUCGUUGGUUUUUCUCCUUUUGGUGUUUUGGUGUUUGCACUAACUAUGGCAGGAGCACACGACAUGGUGGAUGCCCAGUUGCAGGAAGUAAGGGGACAAGUUGAUGGACUUGCUGCUGACAUUAGGAUGAUGCAUGAACGGCUUGAUUCAACGAUCACUUCGACGACCGAGCGUUUCAACCAACUUGACCUUGCUCAAACGGCGACUCGCACCACACUCAACACCAUCCUGGCACGCCUUGAUGCAUUGACCACAAAGAUGGAGCAGGAAUACGGCGGUGACACUGAGCAGGACGAUGGAGAUCGCCGUGGUCGUGCACGUCGUGUGGUUCGUCAUCCCCCUAAUGACUUAUUUUCUAAGAUUAAAUUUAAAAUUCCAUCUUUUAAUGGUAAAUAUGAUCCUGCUGCAUAUCUUGAUUGGGAAUUAGAGGUAGAACAGAAAUUUUCAUGCCAUAAUAUUCCUGCUAAUAGCCAAGUGAAGGCUGCCAUUAGUGAAUUUACUGAUUUUGCUUUAAUUUGGUGGCGUGAGUAUAAACAAAAACUUUCCAUUAACAGUGUCAUUACUUGGACCCAAUUAAAAACUGCCAUGCGCCACAGAUUUGUUCCUUCCUAUUAUGCUCGUGAUUUGCUUAACAAAAUGCAGCGUUUUCAACAAGGUUCACAGUCUGUUGAGGAAUAUUACCAGGAGUUACAAAAGGGUAUGCUUCGUUGUGGUUUAGUUGAGUCGGAUGACGCUGCUAUGGCGCGUUUUCGUGGUGGUUUGAACAGGGAAAUUCAGGAUAUACUUGAUUAUAAGGAUUAUUUUGAUAUAACCACAUUGUUUGAAUAUGCUUGCAAAGCUGAACGUGAAGUGCAGGGACGACGAUCAAAGACAUAUACUAACUCUCUUGCAGGCCGGGGUCCAACACAUAGCUCAACUCCUUCUAGCCCUGCACCUUCUACGCCUAGCACUACAUCGCGCACAGGGACGACCAAGCCAGUGGCGCCCCCUGCCAAAGGCGCCGCUUCUUCCACAGGACGUACACGGGAUAUUCAGUGCCAUCGUUGCAGAGGGUUUGGGCAUAUGAUUCGGGACUGCCCAAACAAGCGUACCUUGCUUAUCCGUGACAAUGGUGAGUACUCGUCAGCCAGUGAUUCUGAGGAAACUAGUCAUGCUAUGAUUGCCACUAACCAUGCAGAAAAUGAGGAAGUCCACGUUGAUCCCAUCGACGCCGAUAGGUAUGAGAGUCUUGUUGUGCAGCGUGUUCUCAGCACACAGGUUGCCCAGGCCGAAAAAAUCAGCGACACACUCUAUUCCAUACCAAGGGCGUCGUGCACGAACGGUCGAUUCACAUCAUCAUCGAUAUUGGCAGCUGCAACAAUUUGGCAAGUACAGCGUUGGUAGAGAAAUUAUCCUUGCCCACUCGCACACAUCCACAUCCGUAUCACAUUCAAUGGCUUAAUGAUGGUGGUAAAAUAAAGGUAACACGUUCGGUACGUGUCCCCUUUUCGCUGGGUUCUUAUUCUGAUUAUGCUGAUUGCGAUAUUAUUCCUAUGGAAGCGUGCUCUUUGUUAUUGGGUCGACCUUGGCAAUAUGAUACUGAUAGUUUACAUCAUGGUCGUUCAAAUCAUUAUUCUUUCAUGUUUAAAGGCCAGAAAAUAAUUAUACAUCCAAUGACCCCUGACCAAAUUUUGAAAGAUGAUCUUACUAGGGCUGCUAAAACUGCACAAGUCAAAUCGACAUCAGCCGCACCUAUUAAAUCUGAAAUCAAGUUGUACUCUCCUGUUUUACUUGCUACACGUGCUGAUUUUGAUGAUCUCCAUGAAGCUCAUAUGCCCUGUUAUGCACUUGUAUGCUCACGCAUGCUUGUUCCGCUUGAUGAUGCACCGUCUUUGGAUAUACCCCCUGCUGUUGUUAACCUUUUGCAGGAGUAUGCUGAUGUUUAUCCUACGGACUUACCACCGGGUCUUCCUCCACUCCGUGGCAUUGAGCAUCAGAUCGAUCUCAUCCCCGGCGCUUCUCUUCCGAACCGCGCCCCGUACCGUACAAAUCCAGAGGAGACGAAGGAGAUCCAGCGCCAGGUGCAGACGCUACUUGAUAAGGGUUACAUUCGUGAGUCUCUUAGCCCUUUCUCGGUUCCUGUUUUAUUCGUUCCAAAGAAAGAUGGGUCAUGGCGUAUGUGCGUAGAUUGUCGUGCUAUUAAUAACAUCACAGUUCGUUAUCGAUAUCCUAUUCCACGCCUUGAUGAUAUGUUAGAUGAGCUUAGUGGUGCCGUUAUUUUCUCUAAGGUUGAUUUGCGUAGCGGUUACCAUCAGAUUAGAAUGAAACUCGGUGAUGAAUGGAAAACGGCUUUUAAAACGAAAUUUGGUUUAUAUGAAUGGUUGGUUAUGCCAUUUGGAUUGACUAAUGCUCCCAGCACCUUUAUGCGUUUAAUGAACGAAGUUCUACGGGCCUUCGUAGGUUUGUUUGUUGUUGUUUAUUUCGAUGAUAUCCUUAUUUACAGCAAGUCUAUAGAGGAGCAUUUAGAACAUUUGCGUGCUGUUUUUGAUGCUUUGCGUGCUGCUCGCUUGUUUGGUAACAUGGAAAAGUGCACAUUUUGCAUGCAACGUGUCUCGUUUCUUGGUUAUGUGGUUACUCCGCAGGGCAUUGAGGUGGACAGCAGCAAGAUUGCUGCCAUUCGGGAGUGGCCUACACCGACGACGGUCACACAAAUUCGGAGCUUUCUUGGACUUGCCGGUUUCUACCGCAGAUUUGUUCGUGAUUUUAGCUCCAUUGCAGCGCCUCUACAUGAGCUUACAAAGAAAGAUGUGCCGUUUUCUUGGAGUGAUUCGCAGGAGGUAGCGUUCAGCACUUUGAAAGAUAAGUUAACCCAAGCUCCCCUCUUGCAAUUGCCUGAUUUUAAUAAAGUUUUUGAGCUUGAAUGCGAUGCUAGCGGUAUUGGGCUAGGUGCUGUUUUGUUACAAGAAGGAAAACCAGUUGCAUAUUUUAGUGAAAAAUUAAGCGGUGCUAGUCUGAAAUAUUCUACUUAUGAUAAGGAGCUUUACGCUUUAGUGCGCACUUUGCAUACAUGGCAGCACUAUCUUUGGCAUCGUGAGUUCAUAAUUCAUUCUGAUCAUGAGGCUUUAAAACAUAUUCGUACCCAAACAAAUCUGAACCGUCAUCAUGCUAAAUGGGUCGAAUUUAUUGAGUCCUUUCCUUACAUUAUUAAACACAAGAACGGGAAGGACAAUGUUAUUGCUGAUGCUUUGUCUCGUCGCUAUACCAUGCUGUCACAAUUAGAUUUUAAAAUCUUUGGUUUGGACACUGUGAAGGAUCAAUAUUUCGACGAUGCUGAUUUUAAAGAUGUUUUCGGCCAUUGUAUUAAUGGGAUACCAUGGGGCAAAUUUCACAUACAGGAUGGGUUCCUGUUUCGCGCUAACAAGCUGUGUGUUCCAGCUAGUUCGGUUCGUCUUUUGUUGUUACAGGAGGCGCAUGGAGGCGGUCUCAUGGGGCAUUUUGGCGUCUACAAAACGCAUGAGGUGUUGGCUGCCCACUUCUUUUGGCCUCGGAUGCGCGCUGAUGUUGAGCGCCUUGUUGCACGCUGCACUACUUGUCAGAAAGCUAAGUCACGGUUGAACAACCAUGGUUUGUAUAUGCCUUUGCCUGUCCCUUCUCCUUGGCUUGAUAUCUCUAUGGACUUUGUUUUGGGCUUGCCUAGAACUAAGAAGGGGAGGGAUAGUAUUUUUGUGGUUGUUGAUAGAUUCUCUAAAAUGGCUCACUUUAUACCUUGUCAUAAAACAGAUGAUGCUAGCAUUGUUGCUGAAUUGUUCUUUAGAGAAAUUAUUCGUUUACAUGGUAUUCCAAAAACAAUAGUCUCUGAUCGCGAUGCUAAGUUUCUAAGCCAUUUUUGGAGAUCUCUUUGGAAUAAAUUGGGAACUAAAUUGUUGUUUAGCACUACUUGUCACCCUCAGACUGAUGGACAAACUGAGGUAGUAAAUAGAACUUUAUCUACCAUGCUUAGGGUUGUUUUAGACAAGAAUUUGAGACGUUGGGAGGAUUGCUUGCCUCAUGUUGAAUUUGCUUACAAUCAUGCCACGCAUUCUUCUACAAAGAUGUGCCCUUUCCAGAUUGUUUAUGGUUACAUUCCUAGGGCACCUAUUGAUUUGAUUUCACUUAAUGCUGCGAACGCCCCACAUGUAGAUGCUUCUGCACAUGUUGAACAAAUGAUUACCAUACAUGAACAAACGAAACAGAACAUUGCUGCUACUAAUGCAAAAAACCAGGUUGCUGGUAGUAAAGGAAGAAAACAUGUUACUUUUGAGCCAGGUGAUAUGGUUUGGUUGCACUUGAGAAAGGAUCGGUUUCCUACUUUGCGCCGUUCUAAAUUAAUGCCUCGUGCUGCUGGUCCUUUUAAGGUGCUAACAAAGAUUAAUGAUAAUGCUUAUAUCCUUGACCUGCCUGCGGAAUUUGGUGUUUCCACUAGUUUUAAUGUUGCAGAUUUGAAACCAUAUAUGGCCGAGGAUGAGGAGUUGUCGUCGAGGACGACUUCACUUCAAGAAGGGGAGGAUGAUGAGGACAUCACUAUGAGUACGACUACACCAGCAGCACCUCCACAUCAAGCGCCACUUCCUUCAUUAGCUGGGCCAAUCACUCGGCCCGUGCCAGAGAUCUUAACUUCGUCAUGCUACUGAAGAAUGAGGGCCCAGAAGAAUAGACAACCAGCCCAAUUGCGGCCCAUAGUGGACGACCUAGGGUUUGCCGCCCCUAGAGGCUGCGCCCCCUCUAUUUAUCCAGGAGCUGCGUCUCCUUUAUUUUCGAGUUUUGUUUUACGUUAGCCUUAGCUACUCUCGAACACGCGCAAAUCUGCGAUGUCUUCGUGUAUUCAGAACUCCACCCUCGAGUAAUAGAUUAGAUUGCUCGCAUCUUUUUCUUGUUCGUUCUUCGAUUGCGCACAGGAAACGAUCUUCGUGAUCAGGCCGAUCUCGCAUCAGCAAGGUCGGUAACCACAGGGAGUUGGUUCAACGAUUGCAUUGGCGCCUCGGGCUUGCUCGUCGUAGUCGGAUCGCAAGGGUCAUCUUCCGCCAAAUCGGAAUUAUCUCUACUCGCCGAAAGAUCAGGCACCUCAGCUACAUCAUAGGUUGCACUCGAGGUGGCGGUGUGAGCUGAGGCCAGGAAGCUCGUGAAUGGCUUGCUGAAGCAACAGAGGCUGCAGGUUGAUUGCCCACAUAUUUUGGUAUGUAGGGAGAGUGGCACGAAGCAGUAUGUAGGACCUGCUUCGGCUGAUUCUGUCGGGCUUCUGCUUCGGCAAUCUCUUUUUGCUUCUGAAUGGUGAUUUGACACAUUCUUGUAGUGUGGUCCUUGUCUUCGCUACAGAAUAAGCAAUAGAUUUUCCAUGGCUGAUCCCCAUAUCUUCCUCCGAAGCCCCUGCCGCCUUGGACCCUUGAAGCUGGUGGCCUGAAGGAGCUUUGCUGUUGUCCUGAAGACUAUGAGCUGUGUUGUGGCCUCUAAAACUGGCCUCCUUUGUCAUCGUUCUGACUGGAGCUAUGGAUUGAUCUGACAUGCCUAGGGUGGAUUCUUCCUCCGAAGCCCUAGUCAUCUCAGAAAAUCUGUAAGCUUCCUCCCUUCUUUGGCGGAAGUCAUUGUCAUCACGGAUGUACUCAUUCAUUUUCUGAAGCAGCUUCUCCAGAGUCUGGGGGUUUCCUGGUGAAGUAUUGGGUCGUAGGCCUUGGCCGAAGACCUUUGAUCAUGGCCUCAAUGACGAUUUCAUUGGGCACCGUAGGCGCUUGUGCUCUCAGGCGCAAGAACCUUCGUACAUAUGCCUAAAGGUACUCCUCAUGGUCUUGAGUGCACUGGAACAAGGCCUGAGCCGUGACUGGCUUCGUCUGAAAACCUUGAAAACUAGUGACCAGCAUGUCCUUAAGCUUCUGCCAUGACGUGAUUGUCCCUGGCCGGAGAGAAGAGUACCAUGUCUGGACCAAACUUCGAACUGCCAUGACGAAGGACUUCGCCAUGACUGCGGUAUUGCCCCCAUACGAAGAUAUAGUUGCUUUGUAGCUCAUCAGAAACUGCUUCGGAUCUGAGUGCCCAUCAUACAUGGGGAGCUGAGGUGGCUUGUAUGAUGGCGCCAUGGGGUAGCCUGCAGUUCUGCUGAUAGAGGAGAAGCAUCAUCAAAAGCAAAAUUUCCAUGAUGGAAAUCGUUAUACCAAUCAUAUCAUUGUAAGAAUUGUCCUGACGAAGCUCUCUUUGUGGAGGUCUUCGGUCCUGGUCAUCUUGAGUAAGAUGACGUAUUUCUUCAGCAGCUUCAUCGAUCUUCUACUGUAGAUUGGAAAGACGUAGCAUCUUCUCUCUCUUCCUUUCGACCUGCUGAUGGAUAGCUUCGAGAUCCCUUAUCUCCUGGUCCAGCUUCUCCUCCUGGGGUGUUGGACUUGUAGCCUUCCUCUUUUGAGUUCGAGCUUCGCGCAGUGUGUCCUGGUUGACGUCCAGUGGCUGAAGUGCAGCCCCUAGCCCUGAAGAAGUUUUCUUAGGCGCCAUGCCUAAGGUCACGACUUGCCGAAGGUGGUCGAUUGAGUUCACAGGAGGUGGGCGCCAAUGUCGGGGACUUGUUCUCAAAUGCUAUGAGUGAAGAACAAGGCAACACAAAACAUUAAUGGUCAAAGUCCUUCGUCCUUCGAGACAUUAUUUCCUUUAGGAUAUAAUGAUCUUUGGACGAAGGUUAUGAAGGACGUACCUUCAUCGUCAUAGUGUAUAUUAAUAGAAGUAGAAGCAUAUGAAACAUGAGAAAUAAUAUGAAUAAUCAUAUGACAUCAUUUAUAUAUCUUUAAUAUAUCAUCAUGAAUAAACAUGAACAAUAUUGAAUUAAAUUUGUACCUUCGGCUUGACAGAAGGCAAAAGUCCAAGUGUGACGCACGAGUGAAUACAAGUCAGCGUGAACAGUACGGGGGUACUGUUCAUCUAUUUAUAGGCACAGGGCGCAGCCUGUGUAAAAUUAUAUUCAUGCCCUUCAUGUUUACUAUUGUCUUAAGGACAAUCUAUCGAGGACUAGAUAACCUUUUCCUUUUUAAGUUGGUUCCUUUUUCUGCUACUGAGUCAAAGCUUCCUUGCACGUAGCUUCGGAGCUGGUUCAACCUUCAUCCCGACCAUGCUUUUCAUAUUGUGUACAGCUUCAUUCUGAGUCCAAAGGUUCCUGUACAUAUAUUACACUUGGGAAACAUUGUUAAUCAUGUUUUUGAGUACCUUCGGAAGACGAAGGCCCCCAACACCUUCUUUGUCUCAUGUUUAGUUCUGACUGGGUAUAGAUAUAUUUCAAACUUUUGUGAUCCAUGUACAAAUGACAUAUAUUCCCCAGCAGAUAAUGACGCCAAAUCUUAAGGGCAUGGACCACUGCAGCUAGUUCUAGAUCAUGAGUUGGAUAAUGUUCUUCAUGCCGGCGCAGCUGCCUUAAAGCAUAGACUAUUACUCGUCCUUCUUGCAUUAGGACACAUCCAAGUUCACUGCCUGACGCGUCACAAUACACAUCAAAAGGCUUUUCAAUAUCCAGUUGGACCAAAAUCGGUGCAGUGGUUAACAACACUAUCAGCUGCUCAAAUGCUUCGUUGCAUUUUGAGAACCAAUCAAACUUAGUAUCAUUCUUCAAUAACCCCGUAAUGGGUUUAACAAUCUUGGAGAAAUGUGGAAUGAACCUGCGGUAAUAACCAGCCAGUCCAAGAAAACUUCGAACUUGAUGUACUGUAGUGGGUGAGUUCCACUCUAGAAUAUCAUUGACUUUGUUGGGAUCAACCGCAAUCCUUUUAGCGGACAAUACAUGUCCAAGAAACUGUAACACCUCAAAAUCCCAAUUUUGGGUUUAGUGCAACAUAAAAAAAUAAAUUAAAGUGUCAUCUGAUGAAAGGAUUAAGUCUUGACCCUUUCUAAAAAAAUUAUAAUCAUGAAUAAAUGGGUAAUAUAACGAGUUUGGUAGUUCAAAAUUUGGAUCCAGAUUUGAAACUUAAAUUUAAGCUGAAACUCGAAAAAAUGAAUAUAAAGACUUUCAAUUUAUUAGAGUGGAUUAUUCUUCAUGAACUAUAUAAUUAGAAACACUCUCUAAAAUAUUUGAGUUAAAGUAUUUUUUUUGAUAAAGAUGGUACAUUACUUUCUCCUAAAAAAUAAGAAGGUAACGAAUAUUCAUUUUGAGCUAACUUUUAAUUUGUAUACACAUUCAAAAAUAAUAUUUUUAUAAAAUAAAUAAUGUGUGAAUUAUUCUCUUAUGAGUCAUGCAUAUAGAAGCAUUUGUUUAGGCGAAUAAAUCAAUAAAUAAAAAAAAUCUUGCAUCAUGCAUGUUGGAUUUUUGUUGUACGUUUAAAUCAAAGGUAGAGAUUCAAACUCAGUUUUAAAUUUGAAUUAAAAUAUACAGAUUUGAAAAUAAACGAAAGGAAAACUAGAAAAGAAAAUUGAAAAAAAAGAGGAAACGUUACCUGCUUAUGAGGCGUUUGGUUUGAUGAAUCACUCUAUCCAAAAUGAAGUGGUGUAUCAUGGGGAUUCCUCAAAUUUGAUGGGAUGACUCCAUUCCACAUAUUAGUAUUAAACAACUAACUAUGAGAAAUGAGGUGGUGAUGGAUUAACUUACUUUAUUUCACAAACCAAACAAAAAAGUGAAGAGUGAGAGGAUGAUGGACUAUAUCAUUUCUCAAACCACAAACACUCCAUUAGUGGACCAACACGUUCAUCCCAUUUCCAUUUCCUUGGCACAAACCACGUUCCUUUUCUUUUGUUUUGUUUAUUUCCCAGCCGCAAUCUGCGUCAGGCUGAUGGCAAGAUGUGGGUAGAACCUGAAUUCAACGCACGCUCGAUUUGUUACUCGUACGCGGGAUCCAUACGUAGAUCCAUCCUCCCCAGUUUGUUACGAGCGCGGGCUCCGUGGGGCAGGUUGUUACAACCACUUGCCGUAAUCCUCGCCUCUGCUCGCCCUACAAAGCGUCGGCCCCUGGUGUUGCCAUCUCGACUGACUAGCAGAACGCAAGAAUCCAUCGGGCGUACGCCACUGGGUCUCACAGCCGACGGGAGCAAAUUAGGUGGUGGUGCCGGUGCGGAUGGUUGCCGGGAGCGGUGCGUCCCCGCGCGUGGUCGCCAUCGUCCAACGGGGCUCGCUGCGCGAAUCACUAGCAUCCGGCCGAGCCAUGGUCCAGAGCCACCACAUGGUGAAGAAAUAGGGCAUCGGAGUACUGCGCCUUGCCGAGACCCCCGCACCGCGGCCGGUCAAUCCUGCCUCCAUCGACGGUGAGAACUUCUCCCUCUCCCAAGCCGCGGGUGUCGAUGUGCUGCUUCCCACUGUUACGGCGUCGAGUACGUAUAGGAGGAGAUGAGGGCUGCUACAUACGGAAGAAGACACGUGGGAACCGUAGAUCCUGAAAUCAAGGGCAGAGAUUUGAUCCUAGGUGAACCGUCCGAUGGGAUUUGUGGGCCUUGGCUGCUCUCCACGGCGAUUAAAUCCGGGCGGUUGAACUAGGAUCCUAGGGCCAGGAAUGCAUACCGUUUCGCGGGUGCACAUAUCUAAUCUAGCGCAUCCGUCUCUGAUCGGACGGCCAUAUCUAGCCGAUACCGCUUCAGAGGGAUUAAUUUCUAAAUACACGCCGAGAGAAAUAGAAAUCAACCCGUAGUCCAUCUCGGGUUACACUGAGUCUAAGGAAUUUUUGUAGAUCAGUCCCUGCGCUUUACUGGAUUUGGCGCACAGUCCAUACAGAUUGUAAAACAAAGAAAUUCAUUUAGAAAUUGAUUUUUAGUACAAAAAUAAUUUCAGAAACUUGUAUAAUUCAUAUUUAAUUCAUUUUAAUUCCUUUUGACCCAUUUCAAUUCCUAUAAUUUUGUAUUAAUAUUGUUUAUCACCUAAUGACUCUGUUUUAUCAUGAAAACUACAUUAAAUUUGAUCACUUAAUUAUUUCCGUACUAAACACAUAAAAGCUUUGGAAAUUCAUAACUUAUUCGUUUUAAUUCCGAUUUGACUCGUUCCAGUUGCGUUAGCUUCGUAUAAAUAUUUACUACGCAGUAACAACAUUAAGUAUACCAUAUCGCAUACUUUUAUAUUGAUUUAUCCUAUAUCUACUAGAUUACCUCUUCUAAAUCAAAUUUAACCUGUCCAUAAUUAUAAUAUGAUUAAAAUAUGAUCUCUAGUCAAGUUAUAAUUGAAACUAAUGUUGAGUUAAUUAUUUAUACAAUAACCUCUCGUAUGGUUUAUACUAGAUGUUGGGGACUUGUUCUCAAAUGCUAUGAAUUAAGAAUAAGGCAACACAAGAUGUUAAAUGUUAAUGCCCUUCGUCCAUCGAAUCAUUAUAUCACUUAGGAUAUAAUGAUCUUCAGACAAAGGUCAUGAAGGACAUACCUUUAUCAUUACAGUAUAUGUUAAAUAAAAGAAGAAACAUAUGUCAUAUGGGAAACAACAUAAACAAUUAUAUCAUAUUUUUCAUUCUCUAUUAUGUAAACAUGGAUAGACAGAAACAAUAUUGAAUUACAAAAGUACCUUCGGCUUGAUAGAAGGCAAGAAAAUACAAGUGUGACGCAAAAGCGAAUACAAGUCAGCGUGAAUAGUACGGGAGUAUUGUUCAUCUAUUUAUAGGCACAGGACGCAGCCUGUGUGAAAUUACAUUCAUGUCCUUCAUAUUCACUAUUGACUUAAGAACAAACUAUUGAGGACUAGAUAGCUUUUUCCUCCUUAAGUCGGUUCCUCUUUCUAUUACUGAGCCGAAGCUUUCUUGCGCGCACCUUCGGCAUUGGUUCAAUCCUUCGUUCUAAUCCUGCUUUCCAUUCCGUAUAUGCUUUUAACCCGAGGCUGAAGGUACCUCAUAUGUUACACUUGGAAAACAUUGUUAAAUCAUAUUUUUGAGGACCUUCGGAGGAUGAAGGCCCCCAACAGUAGCCCCUCGCGGUAUUAAUUUGUUUAAGAUAACGAAUUCAGACUACGACCUGGACGAAGGCCUUAAGCCGAAGGUCCAAAAAACACUUUCCUUUUGCUAGAAUAGCAACAGUCAAUGACUGACGGGACCCUCCAACUCGGGGCGCGCCGAUCGUAUAAAUAAGAACUCACCCUGACCACAUUUGGUACGCUAUUUGUGUCGCUUGCUUUAUUUGCUCAAUUUUAUAGCUCUUGCUCACCAACGCUUGCUUAGUUUCUCAAGUUUUCUAAGCUUCGUUUUGAAGGACACGUUUUCGUUAUUUCCGAAGAGAAGAUGUCUUAAGACAAGAAAGUUGUUGUUGAGACGAAGCUAACCGAAGAGGAGAAGCUCUUCGAACAGAAGAAGGCUGUGAAUCCUUAUAUAGCUGGGUUUCUAGAAUCAAUGGCAAAAUCAAAUAUAGAGAAGAUUACAAAAGAGAUAUUGGAGGGCCUGUCUGGGGAUACUGGUGACAGUGACAGCUAUGAUGCAGAGAGUGGGGGUGAAGAUUCCGAAGAUCGGCCGUGGAGGCCAAGCCAUACAAUUUUCGAAAAGUCGACCAUCAAGCAAAGUCACCUUGAGAGCAUGAGUGGAAGGUACUUUCAGGAUAUAUCUAUUGUGAGGGCUGGCGAAGACAAUACCACUCCUGCGCCUGAGGAGAAUGAAGUUGUGAUCUUCCAAAGUUUCUUUAAAGCUGGGCUUCGGUUCCCACUGAGCAGGUUUGUAGUGGAAGUGUUGAUAACCUUCCAAAUUUUCCUUCACCAACUGACCCCCGAAGCCAUAUUGAGGAUGGGAGUCUUCAUCUGGGCAGUAAGGAGCCAAGGGAUAGAACCGAGCGCAAAAUGCUUCUACAGUAUGCAUGAACUUAUGUAUGAGACGAAGGCUACGGGGAAGGAACAGUAUCACAACAACUUUGGUUGUUAUGGAUUUAUCGCCCGUCCCAACUCAAGCUUCCUAGUACCAACAUUUAGGAAAAGAUGGCCAGGAAAUUGGAUGAAGGAAUGGUUCUAUGUGAAGAACAAUUUGGUAGAGAGAGAGAGGAUGUUAAGGAGGUUAUUAUGCGUCCCAUAUGGUUCCGCUUCGUCCUUCUAAAGCCGAAGGUUGAAAUCGAUGAAGCCGCCGAAGCAUGCUAGAAGGCCUUUGGUACUGUAUGCUUCUUCAUUGUUACAAGAGACCUAAUUCAAGAACAUAUAGCAUUCAGAGUAUGGCCUCUUGUAGAGAAUUGGGAGAUGCCAAAGGAGACUGUCACCGAGUCUAGCGAAGGUGACUUGGUUCGACUAAAAUACACCUUCAGAUAUGGAGAUAAAUUUGAUGAACCAAAUGACGACUGGCUGAAAUGUAUCGAAUCUAUAAGUGAUGAAUUGCUUGGGCCAUAUUCCAAAGUAGAAGAUAAUGCAUUAUCCACAUCCUUCGGGGGCCGAGGAAAAAAGAUAUUGAAUAGAGUUUUUGAUGCCAUUGGUUUUGUUUACCCUGACUACUACUACCCGCUGCGGGGACGGGGAAAGAAGAGGAAAACUGCUGCUUCGGCCAAGACUGCUGCUUCGGCCACUACAGAUGAACCUGCGCCGAAGAGCAAAAAGUUGAAAGUCCUUACCCACCGGCCAUGUUAUAUUGAGCCGGUCGUGGUGCCUGAGUUUGGUGGGGAGACCUCUUCAGCUGCUGAACCAAAGGAGCCCAUUCCUCCUAUGUAGAAGGCUGAAGAACCGGCUACCAUGCCAAAGGCACCCUCAGCUGAGCUAGUUGAGUCAAAGACUGGUAAAGAUAAGGCCGAAGAGCCAAAAAUUGAAGGAACAAAAAUGUUAGAAAUUUUAAGCCCUUCGGCGGAAGUAACAGUGCCGAAGGCACAAAAAAGUCUUGCGGCAACUCUGAAAAGAAGAAGGAUGGCAAAUGUACUAGACGUGCUAGAAACAGUAAAGGCUUUAAGUUCUACUACUUCAAGGAAAAUUGCCGAGGCUUCAAAAAUGCAAACCAAAGCUGAAACAAAGCCGGCCGAAAUUGAAGCUGUAGUAAGCCAAGCUAGUGCCGAAGCUGGGCCUUCAGAGCCUGCCGAGAAAAAACCUUCGGAAAUUGAAGAAAAAGCAACAGAAGAAAAAGCCUCAGAGCAAACUUCGCCUGAAAAGGUUGUUACUCCUGCUCCCGAAGCUUUGGAAGAGAGCAUUGAUUACAUCAUUCACCAUGCUUCGAGAAAGAUGCUUUCUUUAGAAGAAAAACGAGAAGCUCAACAUUAUGCCCAAAAACUGAAAUACCCCAAGGGGGCAUUGGUGUUUAAUGGCAGCGGAGAAGAAGAUUUUCUGUACUGUCUCCCGGAUAACAAAGAGAUAUCUGUCAACUAGGAGAUAGGAAGAAGCUUCGGAUUUUCGAAGCUAGAAGACGGCCUCUCCGUAUUGUCAAAGGAUGAAUUGGCUGACAGUUUAGCAUAUAAUAGUAUAAAGGUAUGAAAAUCAAUUUUUGUAUUUGAAAACAAAUUAUUUCAUUUGUUUAUAUUUAAUACUGCAAUCCUCUUGCAGGGCUUGAUCCUUAGCAAUGCCCUCAGAGCACAUAAAAAUAUCGAAGAUGAAGGGUGUACAAUAGCUCUGAACAACCUUCGCUUAGAGGUGAUUGAACUAAGGAACGAAGGCCUUGAAAAGGAUAAAAUAUUAAUUUCAUUGGUAAACUAAAUAAAAGAAGAUGAAGCUAGUUCCAAAGCUCCAGCUGAGGCCCAGAAGAGUGAAAUUGAAGAUCUUCGGAGACAAUUAGCUGAGGCCAAAGUAAAAUGCGCUAUUGCCGAAGCUGAUCGAGAUGCUAGCGAAUACUGGAAAAUUAUUUUGAAAAGAUAGUUGCAGAGCUUCGCGCAUCGAAGGAAAGAUGUUUUGAAAAAUCUGUGGGGUGCGUGAAAAAGAUGAAGACUAGCUUCGCCAACGUGGGCGCCUAAUCAAACGAAGACAACUUCAUACAAGGCGACCCUGAGGGCGUUAUCGAGUGGAUCAGUGGUGAAGCUGAAGCUUUUGAGAAGAUUUUGAGUGACCACGGGAUGUCUGCGCAUUCUCUGGUGCGAGGGGAGUUGCAGCUGUUUUGGAGAAGGCAGGUUGCGACCAUGUUAAAUCCUUGGCCCAAGCUGAAGCUGCUUUAUCCGUGGAUGCCACGAAGGACCCCUCGGCCGAAGCAAGUUUAUUGGGCGGCAAAUUUUUCACUGAUAUUUGGGACAAUGGCGGCUAAGAGAUGGCUUAUGAAAUAAUGAAGAAGAGCAAAAAAGAUAUCCACGACUCUCGAGAAGUAGCGAAGAAAGCUGAGAAAGCUGCAGAACUCGAGAGACGGAUAGGUAUUGUUUAAUGGCUUAUAGCUUUGUCGUUUGUUUUCGAGGCUUCAAACUGAUUGAUUUUUUCUAUCGCAGCUGAGCUACCUCCUCCAUCGGAGCCGUUCGACCCCCUAGCCGACCCGGAGACAAAGAAAGCGAUAGAAAUCAUUAAUAUGGCCGAAGCUAUUGUCGACGAAGUUGUUACCAAACUUCUUAACGAAGCUGCAGAAAAAGUUCUGAAGGAAGAAGAGUAGUUAUGUAAAAACAUUUCUAGGAUAUUAAUGUAACAUUUGCUGAACUAAGUUUGUAAUAUUUGGUGUUUAUAAAUUUGAAUGUAAUAUGUGAAUUGUUUGUAAUUCAGUUCUUUGCGAUGCAUGAAACUUUAUGUACAUACCGUUUUUGAGCCUUCUGCAAAAAAAACACCUUCCCUUCUUUUCAUGCUUCGUAAAGAAGAGUUUUUAUGCCUCAUAAGAACAUCCACACUUUGUAAAAACAUCAAUGCUUUGUAAACAAUAGAUCCCUUCUUCCACAUCAGAACUGAUGAAGCUGUAAUUCUCAGCUUACUUUGUGCCUUGGCAUUUUUUCAUUUUUUGUAAAGCAUUCUUCGAAGAUCGGCUUCGUUUCCAAUUGAUGUCAUUGAUGUGAUAUGAUGUAUGAUGUGAUGCUAUGAGAUAUGAUGCGAUGAUAUGAUGCAAAGAAUGAUGCUAAUGCUGAAGACACAUACCCACGCUGAAACACAAUCUCUGCGUCCCCUUACGAACUAUCAAAAUCUCUUUGCCGUUUAUUUUUCGGCUUCACCACUUAUUUUCGGUGUAAGUUCGGCAUCCCCUUAGGAACGUCUUUUGAACUUCUUCGCCUUCUAUUUCGGUGGUAUUCGCGUUGACUUUUCAUGCUUCACCUUAUAUUUCGGCGGUAUUUGGCUCUGCAUUCCCUUUGGAACGACUUUUGAGCAGAAAACUUACACUGCGCUCCCUUGGGAACGACUUUUUGUAGCUUCGGCAAACUUACGCUGCGCUCCUUAGGAACGACUUUUUGUAGCUUCGGUAAAACUUGCAAUGCGAUUUUUAGCUGUGCAUUCCAUUAGGAACGACUUUUGAGCUUCAUCAGUUUUUGAGCUUCGUGAGUGUUGGGACCAUGCUUCGUCGCCGAAGGUCCUGCAGGAAGAAACAACUUCAGCAAAAGCUGCUUAUACGUGAUGCCGAAGCUACCACUCAUGAAGCUUCGGUGUUAUAGCGUAUCCGAAGAUGAAGGAUCGAACCGACUUAAAGAUGGAAUGACCUUUUAGUCCAUAAGGGUCUAAGUCAUUGUUGUAAACUUUUAUAAGAGGUAUGAUUGUAAUUCCUUACAGGCUAUGUCCUGUGCCUAUAAAUAGUGAAUAGUAUUCCUUUACUGUUCACGCAAUCCUGUAAUUGCAAACGCAUUGCUCGGGAAUUAUUAUUUUCUGCCAAGGCGAAGGUAUAAAUGUACAUAAACAUUAUGUUUUGAUAUUUAAGUUCAUAUAAUAAAAUAUGCGAAUAAAGUUAUCUAUUUUUGGUACAUCUUUCUCUAAUGUUUCAUGUUUUAUAUUUUAUUUCAUAUUAUUUUGUAAGUCUGAUCACGAAGGUGUGACCUUCGUGAUAUUCUACUCAUGGUCUUCGUCCAAAGUUCAUUAAAUCCUUGGGGAGAUAAUGCUUCAGCGGAAGGUGUGACCUUCGUGAUAUUCUACUCAUGGUCUUCGUCCGAAGUUCAUUAAAUCCUUGGGGAGAUAAUGCUUCAGCGGACGAAGGGCAUUAAUAUUUAACAUUUUAUGUUGCCUUGUUCUUAAUUCAUAGCAUUUGAGAACAAGUCCCCAACAUUGGCGCCCACCUCCGGUGAACUCGCUUCCACUUUUCGAGCUGAUGGCUUCGUUCAAGAACCAAGCUGGAACUGCUUCGGCUCCGAAGCUGAUUCUCCCGAUAACAGGCGGUUCAUGCUCAGAGCCGGCCAACAAGAAACAGAAGAAGGACGCACAGAGAAGAGUGCAACACGUAGGGGUACAAGGACCCUUCAUCAAGUCAAGAUGGUCUCACAUCCCAAUUACCUUCUCUCAAGAGGAUCUUCAGCUCAAGGAUUACCCGCACAAUGAUGCUAUGGUUAUCUCUUGUGUGAUCAAAGGAUUUCUGGUCCACAAUGUUUUGGUUGAUACAGGCAGUGCGGCUGAUAUCAUAUUUGCCAAAGCCUUCAGACAGAUGGAAGAGCCCGAAGACAAGAUCCAUGAUGCCACACAUCCCCUUUGUGGCUUCGGAGGAAGGCAGAUUGUAGCACUUGGCAAAAUCACAAUGCCAGUAACCUUCGGAUUUAUUAACAACACAAGGACUGAACAAGUUGUGUUUGAUAUUGUUGACAUGGAAUACCCUUACAAUGCAAUCAUUGGUCGUGGUACUCUCAAUGCCUUCGAAGCAAUUCUCCAUCCAGCAUAUCUUUGCAUGAAGAUACCUUCGGACCAAGGGCCCAUUGCUAUUCAUGGAAGUCAGGAAGCUGCCAGAAGGGCCGAAGGAAACUGGACAGACUCAAAAGCAAUCCAUAACAUAGAUGAUGCUGAAGCUUGUGAACAAGACAUGUUCAGAAGGGAGAAAGCUGCUUCGGCCGAUUAGCCGAAGCCCAUGGUCUUAUGUGAUGACAUAGCAGAACAGAAGGUGCUAUUGGGAUCCCAACUGUCCGAAGAACAGGAGAAAACCUUGAUAAGGUUUCUGUUUAACAACAAAGAUGUUUUUGCAUGGUCAGCUAAUGAUGUUUGCGGAGUCAACAGGGAUGUUAUUGAACACUCGCUCAAUGUUGAUCCAUCCUUCAGACCCAGAAAGCAGAGGCUUCAGAAGAUGUCUGAUGAUAAGGCCGAAGGUGCUCGGAAUGAAGUGAAAAGACUCCUCAGUGCCGGAGUUAUCAGAGAAGUAAAAUACCCAGAAUGGCUGGCUAACACUGUUAUGGUAAAAAAGGCCAAUGGUAAAUGGAGGAUGUGUAUUGAUUUUACUGAUCUCAACAAGGCCUGUCUGAAGGACGAGUUUUCAUUGCCAAGGAUAGAUUCCCUAGUUGAUGCAGCAGCUUCAUCAGAGCUUAUGAGUCUGUUGGAUUGUUAUUCAGGCUAUCAUCAAAUUUGGAUGAAGAAGGAGGAUGAGCCAAAAACCAGCUUCAUAACCCCUAGUGGAACAUAUUGUUACCUUCGGAUGCCUGAGGGGCUCAAGAAUGCUGGAGGAAGCUUUAGCAGAAUGACAGCGAAGGUUCUUCAUUCUCAGAUAGGCAGAAAUGUGCUAACUUAUGUUGAUGAUAUCAUUGUAAAGAGCACAAAGCAAGAAAAUCACCUUGCUGAUCUGCAGGAGACCUUCGCUAAUUUUAGACAGGCCGGUUUAAAGUUGAAUCCAGAAAAAUGUGUCUUCGAAGUGAAGAAAGGGAAAUUUCUUGGCUGCCUAGUUUCAACAAAAGGGAUUGAGGCUAAUCCAAAUAAAAUCGAAGCUAUCCUUCGAAUGGAACUACCAAGUACAAAGAAGGGGGCUCAAAGAUUGACAGGAAGACUGGCAUCUCUCAACAGAUUCAUAUCUAGAUCAGCAGAGAGAAAUUUACCAUUCUUCGAAGUGCUGAAGUCAGCCGAAGUUUUUCAAUGGGGACCAGUCCAGCAGAGAGCCUUCGAAGAGUUGAAGCAAUAUUUGAUAGACCUAACAACAUUAACUCCACCAACGCCAGAGGCUCCUCUGUUGUUAUAUGUGGCAGCUUCGCACUCAGCGGUAAGUGCAGCACUUGUCCAAGAGAAGCUUGAAGGCCAAGUCAAAAAGCAAGCCCCAAUAUACUUUGUAUCCGAAGUUCUUAGUUUAUCAAAGAAAAAUUAUACAUAAUUGGAGAAGGUGUUGUAUGCUGUUUUGAUGGCCUCCAGGAAGCUUCGGCACUAUUUUCAAGCAUACAAUAUAAUUGUCCCUUCUUCACAACCAUUGAAGGAUAUUAUGAGAAAUAGAGAAGCUACCGGAAGGGUUGGAAAAUGGGCUGCGGAACUCAAUGAAUUUUGCAUUGAUUAUGUGCAUAGAUCUUCGAUUCAGUCCCAAGCAUUGGCAGACUUCAUUGCUGACUGGACGCCAGGGGCUCAGGAAGAAGAAACGAGUAAAGAUGCCAAAGUUUGGACAGUAUUUUGCGAUGGUUCUUAGGGAACCUUCGGAGCAGGAGCAGCUGCUGUGUUGGUCGCACCUUCCAAAGUUAAAACUUGUUAUUCAACAAGACUUGAUUUCAGGUGCACAAAUAACAUUGCUGAGUACGAAGCUUUGCUCUUGGGUCUUCGGAAAUUAAAGGCAAUGGGAAUUAGAAGGGCGGUUCUUAAAACUGAUUCCCAGGUUAUUUCUGGUCAUAUUGACAAAAGUUAUAAAGCAAGAGAUCCGAAGCUUGAAAAAUAUUUAGACACGGUCCGAAGGAUUGAGGCUUCCUUUGAAGGGUUUUCUGUUAAAAAUAUUCCUCGAGGAGAAAAUGAACAUGCUGAUUUAUUAGCCAAGUCAGCAGCACAGGGGCUGCCCUUACCUUCGGACGUAUUUUUCGAAACAAUAAAAGCACCUUCGGUCGAACUUCUUGAAAGAGCAGUCCUCAACAUAUCUCCUGUCUAUAAUGAAGACUGGAGAACUGAGAUCAUCUCUUUCCUUCAGGGUAACUUUCUUUCAGAUGACGAAGCUUAUAACAGGAGGAUAGAGGCAAGAGCUCGACCAUAUGUUAUAAUAGAAGGUGAGCUGUACAAGCAUGGAGUCUGUGCUCCAUUACUCAAGUGUUUAUCCAGAGCCGAAGGUAUAGAACUGAUGAAGGAAAUACACGCAGGCCUGUGUGGAUCUCACAUUGGAUCUAGGCCUUUGCUUGGAAAAGUUUUUCAUCAAGGAUUUUAUUGGCCAAAGGCAACUUCGGAUGCAGAGGAAUUAGUCCAAAAGUGCGAAGGUUGUCAGAAAUGUGCAAGAGAUAAAAAACAACCUUCGUCUCUAACCCAGUUAAUACAACCCACUUGGCCGUUGGAAAGGUGGGGCCUUGAUUUGUUAGAUCCGUUACCGCCAACACAAGGGAACUUAAGAUAUGUUGUAGUGGCAGUGGAAUAUUUUUCUAAAUGGAUUGAGGCAAAGCCUUUAGCCACAAUAACUUCGGUCACUAUUCAAAAGUUUUUCUGGCAAAAUAUUGUUUGUCGUUUUGGAGUGCCGAAGGCUAUUACUGUGGAUAAUGGAACGCAGUUUGAUUCCGAAGCUUUCAGAGAAUUUUGUGAACAAAUUGGCAUGAAGAUCCAUUUUGCAUCAGUUCGGCAUCCGGAGUCAAAUGGACUUGUUGAAAGGGCUAAUGGCAUCAUAAUGACAGGAAUAAUGAAGUUAAUCUUCAAUCAGCCUAGGGGAAAGUGGCCAGACGAAUUAAUCAAAGUGGUGUGGAGCCACAACACAACAAUAUCAAGAUCAACAGGUUUUACACCAUUCAAACUAUUGUGUGGUGACGAAGCAAUAACUCCGGAAGAAGCCAAAGCAGGAUCAAUAAGAAUAGUAGCUUCGACAGAAGACGAAGCUGAAGCUGAUUACUCUGUGGAAAAAGAUGCUAUAGAGGGGAUCAGGCUUCAAGCUGUGGAAAACAUCAACAAAUACCAAGCUGAAACAAUAAAAUGGCGUGAUAGAAAGGUUCGACUAAAGAACAUUGAACCAGGACAUUUGGUGCUUCGAAGAGUAGCCAACCCAGAGACAGUAGGCAAGUUACAGCUGAAGUGGGAAGGACCUUUUCUGGUAGUAUCUUCGUCAAGACCCGGUUCCUACAGAUUGAAGGAUAUGGACGGCAACGACAAUCCUAGAUCAUGGAAUGCGGACGAGCUUCGGCGAUAUUAUGUUUAGCUUGAUGUAAUUUUUUCUAUUCUUUCUUGUGGUACCCUUUUCCUUUCCAAAGGGGGAGAAAGGUUUUUGAUGGGGCCAUAAUAUGUAAUUUUUCUUUUCCUUAUUUCAAUUCUAUAAGAGCGAUAUCCCCCAAAGAUGUAAAUGUAAAAGCUGAGAACGCACCAUCGAGUGCAAAGGAAAAAGAAAAGAAAACAGGGAGAAGCUCAAAAGUCGUUCCUAAGGGAAUGCAGAGCUUGCAGCGAAAAAUAAACGCUGAUUCCGCCGAAAGUAAAAGGCGAAGAAGCUCCUAAGGGAGGCUUGCAGCGAAAAAUAAACGCUGAUUCCGCUGAAAGUAAAAGGCGAAGAAGCUCCUAAGGGAGGCUUACAGCGAAAAGUCAGCGCUGAUACACCGAAAAGUAAACGGUGAAGCUGAAAAAUAAACGACAAAAAGAUUUGAGUCAUUCUCAAGGGAAUGAAGGCUAUGAUUAUGGUUUCGAAUAUACAUUCGGAUAUUCAUUUGCACGAUACAUUACAUCAUGACAUUUGCAUUCAUAAACAUUCAUUUAGACAUAUAUAGGAUCAUUAUCAUCAUAUCAUACAGAAAAGGCAGAUGCUUCGGCUAUGAGGAAAAAACUUCAGAGAAAGAGGGAAUUUUCAUGCUUCAAUGUGUACGAAAAGAAGGGAAGGUGUUUUUCGCCUUCGGCUCAAAAAUAAAAUUUCGUCCACAGCAAAGCAGAUCUUACACAGAUAAAGGGGAAAGAUAUUACAAGGUAUGCACAAAUUUACAUAAGUUUCUCUACAAUUAUAUUACAAAGAUUUCUCUAGAAUGUUUUGCAGAAAAGUCUUUUGCAGCAACUGUUAAGCUUCAGCUCGUCAUUCUUCAGCUUCAUCAUCCUGUACAUAUUAAAACGGAAUGAGAAAGGUGCAGAAUUCAAGGAGAAGGUAAAAGUAACAAGUAUAAGUUUCUCACUGGCUUAAGGUGGCUCCGAGCUUCGUCACCAGCCAUUUUUCGCCCGCCGUUUAUCCAAAUCUGGGUCAUAAACCUGUUUCCUAUGCUUCGGGCUAGGCUUGGGAUGUCAACCAAAUCUGCCGGUGACAAACUGAAGUUUGGCCUAUUUACAAUUUUCCCGUGCGUGCAGCCAGCCUUCAGGAAAGCGGUAGCCGUGCCUCGAGAAGCUAGCAGGGCGCAGAAAUCAGCAUGCCCAGCAAUAACUUCGUCAAGUGCAUCAACUUCGGCCUUAAUGUAUUCCAAGGUGCUUGGCAGGUUUUCAGCUGAAGGUGUAAACUUAUCAGAGCUGGCUCCAAUUGAGUGAAACACAUCCUUCAGCCGCUGCACACAUCGGCUGCCGAAAUCUAAGCAUUUCUCCUGAAGCUCCUUCAAUGAUUUUUGCAAAUUUGAAUUCUUCUCGAUUUCGGUCUUGAGACUUGUUUCGAGAUUCUUCUUUUCCUGCUCAGAUUUUUUUGAUUUUAUAAGUAAAUCAUUGUUUAAUUUGUCAUUUUCGGCUUGGGCUUCAGCCAGUGAACCUUCCAUAGAAUGAAUGACGAAGUCUUUCUUUUCCAAGGCAGCUUCGUGAUCUUUAACUUUGAUUUCAAGGUCUUGAAUAACGAAGUCCUUUUUCUUCAGAGCAGCUUCGUAAUUUUCGAUUUUGUUCUCUAGAUCUUUGAUGGUAGCUUUGUUUUUCUCCUCUUCAAGAUCUUGUUGCAUUCUCAGCACUUUACUUAGUAGUAUACUCUGCCAAAACAACCUUCGUUAGAAAACAUAUUAAUUCAAAAAACAAUAUAAAGUUGAGUUUUUACCUUGAAAUUAGCAUAGAGCAAGCUACCGGCAAUAUGCUGUCGCUGGUACCUGCAGAGGUCCGCUUCUAUCUUCGGCAGGCCAACGCUUUUUGAGAAAGUCCUAACAACCUUGGCCUCGGUUCGAUUCCGAAGGCAUCUUAGUUUCCCUUCAUUGACACCACCAAAUAGCAGAGACCCUGGUUUGUAUCCGCAGGAUAUAGCAUAUUUCUUUAGCUCUUCUUUUUUAGUGUCUGUUAACUCUUGUCCAAGUAUAUCUUGAAAAUUAAAAUUUUCUUCUUCCAAAGUGUCUUCAAUUUGCUCUUUUCCUUUUUCAAUUGUCGUGUUCACCGCAACCGCAACAGCUUCUUCUUCAGCCAUUCUCAGAAGUAUAUUGUCAAUAUCACCAAGUGUGGUCUCUAGAUUAGGAUCUUCGGUGGUCUCGGUUUCGGCUCCGGUGGCUUCGGCUUCAGUGGUUGCACCGAUAGCUUCGGCUCCGGUGGUUUCAGCUCUAGUGGUUUCAGCUCCGGUGACUGUGGUUUCGGCAGUGACAAUUUUUGACGUCGAUGUCGGUGGCGGUGUCUGAUGAAUGACAUCGGCCACUUGGAUAAUUCUUCGUUUUUUCGGCUUUGCGGGACUUUCUGUUGCCGAAGCUUCUUUCUCCUUCUGAAAAAACUUCGUCAGUUCUGGCGCCAGCGGACUUAGCCUGAUAGGCAAAGGUUCAGUCAUUACCUUCGGAAUCUCUUCCACUUCGGCAGCAGAAGGUGUUGCAGAAGCUUCCUCCUCUCGGGCCGACGUCUUUGGUUUUGGGGAUGCAACUUUUCUUUUCUUCGGAGCAGCUAUCUUCGGCUCAGGGCUCAGUUUUUCAGAAAUUUCCUUGUCCUUUUUACCUAAUUUGGUGCCUUCUUUGUCAAGGGCGCUCGCAAUCCUCUUUCUUUUCUGGCCUUCGGCACCUCCGACCAAUUGCUCAUAGUCAGGGUAAUCAAAAUUCAAGGCAUCUAGCACACGAUUCAAUCUUUGUUUCGGACGUGUGCCGAAGGCUGCAGUCAUUAAUUGAUCUUCUUUCUUAGAGUAAUUGCCGACGAUCUCGUUGCACAUAAUUUCAAUUGUGUUCAGCCACUCUUGGCAGGGUGCUUUAAAAUGUUUCUUAAACUUGUAGUGAUAAGGCAAUCGAACAAGUUCUUCCUUUUUCUUUUCUCCCAUUAGCUUCGGCAUUUCCCACUCCCUCAGUCUUGGGAACACCCUAAAAGCCAAAAAUUCCUGCACUAGGUCUCUAGUGCCAAUAUGAUCUGAAAUCACUCGAAAUUCAGCCAAAGCAGUCUGACUCGGGCUCCCCAUUAUCAUGUUGCAUCGGGGCCUCGUUUCUCCGAAGGUUAGUUCUAGCGGACUCUGGACCAAUUUAUCUUCAUCUUCAUCAACUUUAACAUAAAACCAUUCAGAUUUCCAUCCGGCUGGCCAUUUGCUUCGGUAGCUUAUCACUGGAAACUUCAUAGUCUUGCGAUAAGCAAAGUUGUAGCAUCCAAAAUUUUCGUGCAGACCAUCUCCUCUGGCUUUAGUCUGGCAGUGUAAUUCAUGAACUCGGCAGAAACCCUUACCGAACGGUUCCACCCCCUGGCUACGAAGAGCCCAAAUGUAAACACUUAAUCUAACAAUAGCAUUGGGGUCAGGUGAUGAAGGUAAAUCCCAAACUUCUUCUGUACAAUAGCAAUCAUCUUGUUCAAGGGGAACCUUAGACCGGCUUUAAGAAAACUUUUGAAGACUACUACCUCGUCCUUUCCUGACUUUGGGAUAGUUUCCUCUCCACCAAAACGAAUUAAUUCCUUCUUGGCCUCACUAAAAUAACCCAUCUUCACCAUUUUAGGAAGAUCAGCUUCAGAAAUGGUGGACUUUCCAAAGUCCAAAUGACUAGGUUUACUUGGCACCCCGCAGCUGUACUCAUCUUCGAAACCAACUUCUUCAACAUCAGCUCGUGUUGCUUCGACAGCAGGUGUGUCCUCUGAUGAAACCAGCCCAGAACGCCUCAUUGCUUCGGAAAUCGGAACAGUUUCAGUGGCUUCGGUCUCAUCUCCAUCACGCUCAACCCUAGUAGUGGAGCGUACUCUGGCCAUUUGAUUUUAAAUUUCUUGAAAAUUCCUUGGAAAUUAAUAACCUUUUUUCCGAAGCUCUUCUCGUGACGAAGCAGAAUCCAAACUGGAGCUUCGUUUGAAUGCAAAAGUCAAGCUUCGGCUAUGGUUAAAUUUUUGGCAGCAAAACUGUGCAAUAGCAAUGAAUGCUCUGGUAACUUCACACCUACCUGUCUGUUUAUAUAGUGCUGCAGGUAAGAAGGUGAAUUGUCAAGAUUUUUACACCGGACAAACAGUCGCUCGCACACACUAAACGGUGGGCCGCAAAAACCGAGAAAGUGAACCUGCAUGGUGGGACCGCUCCGUGCUCGGAAACUGUAUCGUUUCUCGGCAACGAGCUUAGGGAAGGUGUUUUUCAGACCUUCGGCUUCCCGAAGCCUAAGAGACUUUUUUCAUGGAUCAAGCUCAUUACGAAAAACGAUCUAGCACCGCGAAGGGGCUACUAUUGGGACCAUGCUUCGUCACCGAAGGUCCUGCAGGAAGAAACAGCUUCGGCAAAAGCUGCUUAUACGUGAUGCUGAAGCUACCACUCAUGAAGCUUCGAUGUUAUAGCGUAUCCAAAGAUGAAGGAUCGAACCGACUUAAAGAUGGAAUGACCUUUUAGUCCAUAAGGGUCUGAGUCAUUGUUGUAAACUUUUAUAAGGGGUAUGAUUGUAAUUCCUUACAGGCUAUGUCCUGUGCCUAUAAAUAGUGAACAGUAUUCCUUUACUAUUCACACAAUCCUGUAAUUGCAAACGCAUUGCUCGGGAAUUAUUAUUUUCUGCCAAGGCGAAGGUAUAAAUGUACCCAAACAUUAUGUUUUGAUAUUUAAGUUCAUAUAAUAAAAUAUGCGAAUAAAGUUAUCUAUUUUUGGUACAUCUUUCUCUAAUGUUUCAUGUUUUAUAUUUUAUUUCAUAUUAUUUUGUAAGUCUGAUCACGAAGGUGUGACCUUCGUGAUAUUCUACUCAUGGUCUUCGUCCAAAGUUCAUUAAAUCCUUGGGGAGAUAAUGCUUCAGCGGACGAAGGGCAUUAAUAUUUAACAUUUUAUGUUGCCUUGUUCUUAAUUCAUAGCAUUUGAGAACAAGUCCCCAACUGUGAGUCUGUGGGAAAGAUAUAUUUCAUUAUGACAAGAACAAAGCUAUUACAAGAAAUUAAAAAUGACAAGAAGACAAGAUUUACAUUGAUUGUUCCUUAUUAAAAAGAAAAUGACAAUGAAUGUAAAAAUGCUUCAGAGGUAGGAUAUCUCUCAAUAGAUGUGUUUUGAUUCUGGCACAGUACUGUUGACUGUGCGAGCUUCGGAUUCCUCCCUGAAAUCUCUCUGUUGAUGGGUCUGCUAGCUCCCUUCUGGCUGCUGACCUCGUGAAUAGGCAGGUAGUAGUGGUGGCGGAGGUGGAAGCUGUGGCCAAGAAGCCUGUGGCUGACUAGCUGAAGCAACAGAAGCUGUAGGAUGAUUACCCACAUAUUCUGGUAUGUAGGGUGAGUGACACGAAGCAGUGUGCAGGACCUGCUUCGGUUGACUUGGCCGGGCUUCGGCUUCUGCGAUCUCCUUCUGCUUUUGGAUGGUAAUUUGGCACAUUCUUGUAGUGUGCCCCUUGUCUUCACCACAAAAUAGGUAGUAGAUCUUCCUAGGCUGGUCCCCAUAUCUUCCUCCAAAGCCCCUGGCGCCUCUGCCUCUUGGAGCUGGUGGCCGGAAAGAGCUUUGUUGCUGCCCUGAAGAUUGUGAUGUACUGCGGCCUCUGCAGCUGACUUCCUCUAUCAUCACUCUGAGUGGAGUUGUGAAUUGACCUGACAUGCCUCGGGUGGAUUCUUCCUCCGAAGCCCCUGGUCAUCUCAGAGAACCUGUAAGCCUCCUCCCUUCUUUGGCGGAAGUCAUUGUCAGCCCAGAUGUACUCAUCCAUCUUUUGAAGCAGCUUCUCUAGAGUCUGUGGAGGCUUUCGCAAUACUGGGCAGUAGGUCCUGGACGAAGCCCCUUGAUCAUGGCCUCAAUGAUAAUUUCAUUGGGCACUAUAGGCGCUUGUGCUCUCAGACGCAAGAACCUUCGGACAUAUGCCUGAAGAUACUCCUCAUGGUCUUGCAUGCAUUGAAACAGAGCCCGAGCUAUGACCGGCUUCGUCUGAAAGCCUUGGAAACUUGUCAGUAGCAUAUCCUUGAGCUUCUGCCACGAAGUAAGUCCCUGGCCGAAGAGAAGAAUACCAUGUUUGGGCCACAUUCCUAACUGCCAUGACGAAGGACUUGGCCAUGACAGCUGCAUUGCCUCCAUAUGAAGAUAUAGUUGCUUCAUAACUCAGCAAAAACUGCUUUGGAUCCAAAUGCCCAUCAUACAUAGGGAGCUGAGGUGGCUUGUAUGAUGGAGGCCAUGGGAUAGCCUGCAGUUCUGCUGCCAAGGGAGAAGCAUUAUCAAAGGUAAAGGUAUCAUGAUUGGAAUCAUCACACCAUCCAUCCUCGUUGAAUAAGCCUUCUUGAUGAAGCUCCCUGUGUUGGGGCCUUCGAUCUUGUUCAUCUUGAGCAAGAUGGCGUACUUCUUCAGUGGCUUCGUCGAUCUGCCUUUGAAUAUCAGCUAGCCGGGCCAUCUUCUCCUUCUUCUUUUGUACUUGCUAAUGGAUUAUCUCCAUGUUUCUGAUUUCUUGGUCCAACUCCUCCUCCUGGAGUGUUGGACUAGUGGCCUUCCUCUUCUGGCUUUGGGCCUCUCGGAGAGAAAGGGUCUCCUGAUUUGGGUCCAGUGGCUGUAGUGCGGCAGCCCCUGGUGCUGAAGCUUUCUUCAGUGGCAUGGCGAAGGUCAAUGCUUGCCGAAGGUGGUCAAAAAAAGGGUUCACCAGAGGUGGGCGCCAAUGUUGGGGUCUUGUUCUCAAAUGCUAUGAAUUAAGAACAAGGCAACACAAGAUGUUAAAUGUUAAUGCCCUUCGUCCAUUGAAGCAUUAUAUCCCUUAGGAUAUAAUGAUCUUCAGACGAAGGUCAUGAAGUAUAUACCUUCAUCAUUGCAGUAUAUGUUAAAUAAAAUAACAAACAUAUGUCAUAUGGGAAACAACAUAAACAAUUAUAUCAUAUUAUUCAUUCUCUAUUAUAUAAACAUGGAUAGACAAAAACAAUAUUGAAUUACAAAAGUACCUUCGGUUUGAUAGAAGGCAAGAAAAUACAAGUGUGACGCAAAAGCGAAUACAAGUCAGCAUGAACAAUACGGGAGUAUUGUUCAUCUAUUUAUAGGCACAGGACGCAGCCUGUGUGAAAUUACAUUCAUGUCCUUCAUAUUCACUAUUGACUUAAGAACAAACUAUUGAGGACUAGAUAGCCUUUUCCUCCUUAAGUCGGUUCCUCUUUCUAUUACUGAGCCAAAGCUUUCUCGCGCGCACCUUCGGCAUUGGUUCAAUCCUUCGUUCCAAUCCUGCUUUCCAUUCCGUAUAUGCUUUUAACCCAAGGCCGAAGGUACCUGUUCAUAUGUUACACUUGGAAAACAUUGUUAAAUCGUGUUUUUGAGGACCUUCGGAGGAUGAAGGCCCCCAACACUAGCCAAUUUAUAAUAUAGUUUAAUAUUUAAAUCUCAUAGAUCUUCCAUAAAUCAUAACUCCUCGACAGUAACUCCGAUUUUUGUAGUUCUCGAACCCACAAUCUCGUAGCAACGCGUAGAUCAUUGUUAUACAGUUUGUUCUUAGUUUGGUGUGAUGUUAAUUUUGUUUAUACCAUGUUUGUUUGUAUUGCUACGACUAGCGCGAGGUCACGAGUCAUCUGAAGAAUCAUCCUGGUACCUAGAAUCUCAAGUUCCAAGCAAGUUGUGCCCUUGAUCACUUUCUUUUAACCCAGUCAUGUUCUUAUUAAUCAUAAUGAUCUACAUAGGUUAAUUUUGCUAGGACCCAAUAGGUUACCCUAGAUUUUGACUAUCUUUAUACCUUGUUUCACCACUGGUUUUACUACUAAAUUUUUGGUUAGUACAUGCUAUUGCUUUAUGUGGCUCUGGGUAUAGAGAUAUUCAUCACUCAUUGUUAUACUUUUUAUUAUCCGUUUAUUAUUUACUGUUCAUGAUAAGGUCACUAUGUUAAUGGGAACAUGGAGAACCACCCGGGAAAACAGUGCUACCACAAGGGUUUAAUGGGACGCCCUUGGCUGAUUAACUAGGAAAGCUAGUGGAUGACUACCUUACCCGAAAGAGGCAAGGGCAGUAGGGGAGUGGUCAGUGUAGGGAGGUCCUUGGGUUGAUUUUGCUGCGAUGGCGAUCAGGCGAGGGAUUCCUGCACUGGAGCUUCCUAUAAACUAUAGCGGGUUUUCUGAAGCUAGUGGAACUUUGUAAAGGCCUCAUAGUGGUACCCUGCCUCGCUUCCUUGGUAGAGGUGUAUGGGGUCUUAUCAACUCCGUGGCAAAUGGGUAACACGACUUGUGGGUAAAGAUGCGCAACCUCUGCAGAGUGUAAAACUGGUAUACUAGCCGUGCUCACGGUUAUGAGCGGCUCGGACCCUCACAUGAUUAAUCUAUGGAAUUAAAACUCAAUUUGUCAUUUGCAUCGCAUUGAGAUUACUUUAUUAUUACUUUUACUUAUUAUUACUAAGGUUUGGUAUUACUUAUACUUAGUAAUUGCUAAUAAAAUUUUGACCAACUUAUAAAAGCAAUGCUCAGCUUCAACCUUAUUUUGUUGAUCAACCUUACACUUCACAUGAACUCCCACCUUUGGUGAGUUCAUGCCACAUUAUUCCCCACAACUUGUUGAGCGAUGAACAUGUGUGAGCUCACCCUUGCUGUCACACCCCCCCCCACAUGAGAAGAUUAGGUGGUUCAAGUGGAGUCACACAUCGAGGAGUUCAAUUCGAUCUAGGUGGCGUCUCCUAGUUGACUUUUUGGCGCCAAGGAUGGAUUUUAGAUCCUGUUAUAUUUAUCUUUUAUUUUGUAAGACUUCCACUCUGUAAUAAAUACUCUGAUUAUAUUGUGACAUUUAUCUCUAUACACUCUGUUAUUAUAUAUGUUGUCUUCUUUGGCGCAUGUAUGAGAUGCACCCGACUUUGUCCCUUAAAAUCCGGUGUGACAGAAAAUGGAUUUCCUCCAACCAGAACGCGCAUUUGCUGAAUUUGGCAUACAACUGAUGUUCCCUUAAGCGCGUUAGCACGAUCCACAAGUGCUUUGCAUGCUCCUCUUCAUUUUUGGAAUAGAUCAGAAUGUCGUCAAUGAAGAACGCCACAAACUUGUCUAACUCAGGCAUGAAUACCGAAUUCAUUAAGUAUGUGAAGUGGGUUGGAGCAUUUGUUAAUUCGAAAGACAUGACCAAUUAUUCAAAUAACCCAUACCGCGUGGUGAAUGCGGUCUUGGGUAUAUCCUCGGGUCGAAUACGGAUCUGAUGCUAGCCUGAUCUGAGUUCACUCUUGGAGAAUACCCGGGCUCUAGUAAGUUGAUCGAAUAAAAUAUCAAUCCGAGGAAGAGGAUACUUGUUCUUGAUGGUAACCUCAUUGAGGGGUCUAUAGUCCACGCACAUUCGAAGUGUCUGAUCCAUCUUCUUGACGAAGAUUGCUGGACAUCCCCAUGGUGAUGAACUUGGUCUAAUGAACCCUUUCUCCAACAAGUCUUGUAGUUGAGUCUUGAGUUCUGCCAGUUCAUUAGGUGGCAUACGGUACGACCUUCUGGAAAUAGGAGUCGUACCGAGCUUCAAUUCAAUCACAAAUUCCACAUCCUUUUCUGGAGGUAACCCGGGCAAGUCUUUGGGAAAUACAUCCGAAAAUUCAUAAACAACCGGAAUAUCCUGGAUCUCUUGCAUUAUGGCCUAAAAAACUUGCCUAGAUGUUUUGACUGGAACAACUACAGGGAUGGAUAAUUGGACUUCUUCAUGACCUUAACUUAACUUAAUGGUCCUUUGGUCCGUAUAGAUGAUGGCUUUAUUCUGGGCUAACCAAUUCAUUCCUAGAAUCACAUCUAUAUCUUGUCCCUUUAUAACAAUCAUGUUUGUAGGGAAUUCCCAUCCGGCCAAUGUUACGGGUAUGUGGAAGGCUAUUUCCUUAGUAAAUAUUCGGCCCCCAGGUGAAUGGAUAACAAAUCCCUCCCUUGAUUCAGUGCAACGUAUGCAAUGUUUCUCCACAAAAGUCUUGCUUAUGAAGGUAUGUGAUGCACUAGAAUCAAAAAGGAUAACUGCUAGGUGGUUGGCAACGAGGAACGUACCCAUCAUCACCGGUUCACCUUCCGGUGUAGUAGCCACCUGGUAUAAUACACUCGUCCAGUUUUCUUCAAAUUUUUGCCCAUUGAAGAUUUGGCCAUGUUCUCCUUUCCUUGAUUUGAGUUCCUAGAAGUCUGCUGAAAGUUGGAUUUGUUCUGCUUCGGAUAUGGGCAGUCCUUGAUGAAAUAUCCGGACUUUCCACAAUUGAAGCAACCAUUGGAGGAACUGGGAAGGGCAGGAAAACGAGCACCAGGGGCACUCGGCUGAUUGGUCUGGGCGGGGGCAGGAGUGGGACAAAUAAAUACGGGUUGUCUAAAUGGAUAUGUAGGUGGGUGAGGAGAAGAACUGUUUGGAUUAAAAGGUCGGAUUACCAACAUUGUCCUCUUUUCAGGUCCCUGAGUUGAUCUUUCACCCGCAUUUCCUUUUGACUUUCCUUGACCUGCAUUUUUGGCUUCAACUGACAAUGUUGUACUGACAGCCCUGCUGUAUGUGAGGUCCAGACACAUUACCAUCUUACGCUGGAGUCUAUAAUUUAGUCCCCUCAUGAAGCAAUUCUUCUUUUUCAAGUCUGUGUCCACUUGAUCAAUGGCGUAUUGGGAGAGGUGAUUGAAUUUAUUGAGAUACUGCAUCACAGAAUCUCCCCCUUGCUUCAGUCGGAUGAACUCUUCUAGUUUCAUUUGUAGCACUCCUUCUGGAACAUAAUGUUUCCUAAAUGCUAGUUUAAACUCUUCCCAAGUGACUUGAUGUCCCACAGGUUGGAUGGCAGAAAAGUUUGCCCACCAAGUGCCGGCGGGGCCUCUUAACUGUUGAGCGGUAAAUAGGGGCUUCUGUAUCUCGGUGCAUCGUAUUAGCCCGAAUUUUUGUUCCAUCACCCGCACCCAUUCAUCAGCUUCUAGGGAUUCCUCUGCCUUGACAAAGAGCGGUGGACGGGUUUCGGAGAACUCCAGAUAGGUGGUGUCGCGUGGUCCUUAUGGUUGACCUCUUCCUCCGUGUUGUUGAAAUAGGUUUCUCGCCAUUUCGCAUAGAAAGCGUGUGUUGUCAGUGGUGGCAUUGACCAAGGCAAUGAUAGCCUCGGCCAUGGUAGGAGGUACAGGUGGCAGAUUGGGAGUGUCCUCCCCGCCCGUGGGAUGUACCUGCCCCGUCAUGAGCACGGGUUCGUGAUGGCAUCUGAGGAAGAAAACAUCCUGAAUUAUUACAUGCCAACACACCAUCUUUAUUACAUUGCGGAACAGUAAUAAUUAUACAUACUCCAUUAUACAACUCGAUUUCCUUACUUAUUUUACAUAAGUACAUUACUCAAACUAUACUAUUCUAAUUUUCUUCAUCCUGAGCUGCUUCACUGCCUGCUUCAGGAGACCAUUCAUCUGCAAGAUUCAUGGAAGGAGGGGCUCCAAAAAGGUCAAUCCCCCAUUAGAUCAUCCAUUUGCUGUUCCAGAUUGUCUAGCUCCCAUUGCUGCCAAUUCAGGUGGCACGUUCGGGUGCAGCCGGUCAUACAACACAUGCACCUCUUCAUGCAAGGUGUUGCAGUAUGGUUGCAGGUUUUCGAGGGAUGCGCUAAGUUCUGCUACUCGAGCUAGAGCUUUGGCUUCACAAUCCCAAGCAAAAGAGCGUGAGUUUACGGCCCAGUCAAUGGUCGUAUCGCGUUCCGUAAUUUCAUACUAUAGGUGAUUAACUUUGGCCAAUAGUUCUGCAAUGCGGCGACUAUCGCACGCACGCUCCCUACACCCGUGGCAUAGUUUAGACCUGAGUCGAUCCACUCUGGCCUCCAAAUCCCCGAUGGGGUCGUUACUUCUAGUGCUGCUUCCUUCAUGCCUAGAGGCCAGCUGAUGUCGAGGCACACCAUGAGGUCCAGUCGAUUUGUGCUGGGUAGUUUUAGUGCACGCCAUAGCUCCAUAAGAGGGGAAAUUCUAUUUAGUAUAGUUUAAACAUGAUGCAUGCAUAACCUAAUAAUUAUGGGAUCAAUCUUUCGUUGAUCCCCUACUUCCUUACAUAUAUUGCACUCUGUUACCCGGUGUUAAAAUGUAACAACCAGAAAGUGGUAAGAUAAGAACGAAAGAAUUUUCAAGGUAAGUAUUUUAAAAUUCUUUUGAAGUACUACGUAAUGUCCGAAGAGACGGGUUUCGCUUCGAUACCAAUUGUCACGGAACCUCCCAAGGUAUUAGGCCCACCUAUAGAUGUCCUUGUCCUAAGGACCUCGGACAACCCUUUAGAUGCACAUAAUCACUCGACAAGUUCGGUCAUCUGUAUCAUCAUUAUCAUACUGCCCAAGAGCGUUUCACCGAUCACGCAAACAUUACACUCAUAAUCAAAGUAAGAAUAAGCGGAAGGAUUACAAUAACAUAAUUUAUGUUCAUAUAUAAAAUGUAGGGAGAGUAUUUAUUACAAUACCGGGUGUUUGAGUGCAUAACAUAUUAUUACAUAUCAGGGAGGUAAAACAUCCUCCCACCAACAAGUCACUAAUUUGCCUCCUCCUUUGGCACCACCUUAAAAAUCCAGUUUUAUUAUCAUGUUAAGUCAUUACCUGUAUCUAGAGUUCUUUCUAUCCUAGUUCAAGCACUUGGACUACACUAGCCAUCUUUUAACAUCCCUUCAGUUCACUGGAUUGCUACAUGUAAGUCAGUGACCAAGCCUGGCAGAAAAAGGAAAAGGAUGAAUAGUACUAGGCUGAAUUCAGCCCGAUCGGCCCAUGUCCAGACAAACGCGCUCGCGCGCACCCGCACUGGCAAUCUUGUGGAGGGGCCCUCGAUCAUUUGAACAAACAGUAAAGAACCCUCGACACUAUUUCUUUGUAUCACUGAUGUUUGCACUUAGACCCCUAAGCUUCUAUUUCUUCACCGGAUAAGUCCCUGGCGACGGCACGCUCACUCGCUGGCCAUCUCCUUGCUGAGACCGGCCAUGAACAGCGACAACUAACUAAACCAAGUGCUGGACUAGCGUACCCGAUCCCAGGCGACCCUAAUUGGUCCCUUAAUUGAGCUAUCCCGACCCGGAGUUCUUCUGUCCACGACGACGGCGAGACCUGAGGGUGAACCAAGGUGUUCCCGACGACUAGGCGUGGUAAUGUACAAAUUCUAAGUACGGGGAGCACCACUAUACCCUAAGGAAGCUAGAACAGAUGGCGGUUGGGUUGGAACUACCUCAGGCGACGCUAGCCACAGAAGAGCUCUCCACGGCGGCGAUGGCGACCGAAUUGGGGGAAAAGCCAAAUUCAGGCGCUGUGUUGGCUAAUCGGAGAUGAGGGUUGGUGCUCUGGCUUUGUAACAACCUAGCGGAGCUAGCUGUGCACUCAAUUUAUAUUAUCCGCGAGCGGUGGCUCCGAAUUUGGAAGAGGAAAGGUGGCGGGCGAAGAGAGGGGGUGAGUCACCGACGCGAGCUACCGUGGUGUUCACUGGGGCAACGUUACAGGCGAUGGACAGACUACCUAUAGUGGUUUACUGCGAUGUGGUAACGCUUCUAAGUAUGUGGUGUCCGAGCGGCAAGCAGCAGAAUCCUGCGAGGCCAUCUUGAUCGGCCACAGGGCAAGUGGGUACGACGGCCAGCUCACGGCCUCAUCCGCGGUCAAGAUCUUUUCACCGCCGACCGUUAUCUGCACCUAGAGCGCACGAAUCACAGCGCCGACGAUGAUCGUGGUGCACGCCCACCGGCGGAGACAAGUUCACUGAAUUUGAUCUUGUUCAGUCACUGUACCAACACGUUCUUCAUCAGACGUUCUGACAAGACGAAUUGGAGAGCUUUGUUCUUAAUUUUCAUGUUACGACUUACUAAUCUAUCUGUAACAAAGUUAAUCUCAUAUAAUCUAGCUUUAAUUUUGUUAAAGCAACCAUGAUAAAAAAUCCACUGGAUCAUACUCAAAAUUGCUAUCAGAGUUUGUCCAAGUUCACUGUCAGUUGAAAAUCAGCUUCAGGGUUGACUGAGAAUCUGUCUUUAAGUCCAUUUAUCUCCAAUUUUUGUACAUCACCAAUGCUUAGUCACUUAAUCAAACUUGUACCCCUAACAUAGCUCUACAAGUUCGAUGUAUUGACCUAGGGCAAAACCUUUAUGGAUUAAGAAAUACAAGGCCCCAAACUUGGCCUAAUUACACUGAAUUUUCAGAGUUAACCAUAUGGGAGCUCUUGGGGCUUUUUCCAAUUAAGUCCAAAUUGUUCCACAUCACGUGAAAAUCCUCUGAUAUCAAAGUUGUUUGGUUUUUGACAUUCUACCACUUUGAUGUAUACACUUUGGUCCAAAAGUGUAUAGAAUUUGAAAUCACCAUAUAGGGCACAAAUUAGGGUUUCUAGGGUUCCAUUUAGGGUUUUGGGUGCUUUAGGGUUUUUAUGCCACUCAAAUCCAUCAAACUUAAUCUCUUGUGAACAUUUCCAAUAACUUUUGAGGUACUACUCAAUUUGACUUCAUAUUUACCCAUAUGCCCUAAUCCCAGGGUUAAGUACUCGGAAUAAGGUUCGAGCGCCAUGCCAAAUGUGUCCGAAAAAGAAGAGCAAAGCAAAGGUAGCAUGACCAAAAGUGAACCAACCCCUUGGACUGCUGCGAAAAACACCAUCUGAUUUCAAAGUAGCUCGAUCUAAUUCAAAAAUUUCCCCUAAUUGAGCACACCGCGCAUAUUUUUUUACAGUAGCAGGAUCAGAAUAACUUACUCCAUUAAGUUCGCCACCAUAGAACUCCACCGUUACGCCUACUUGUUCAACACUAUAUUUGGAUUCUGCUCUUCUAAAAGGAACGUCCGCUCUCACAAUUCCCUCUUCAUCUACCAAAACGACCGGAAAUGUUUCAUAAAAAGUAGGCAUACGACGUACAAAAAGCUCGCGUCCUUCUUUAUCUCUAAAGACGGGAUGUCCUAACCAUCCAACAGCUAUGCCAUCCCCU
rnacentral:lncRNA from 1 species